AAAAGAGCACAAAUGACGUUGGCAAACCUGAAACUUUCCCAUUGGGCAAUAAACAUUACUCCAGUCAAAAACAUUAUGGAAGAGGCAAACCUGAAACUUUCCCAUUGGGCAAUAAACAUUACUCCAGUCAAAGACAUUAUGGAAGAGGCAAACCUGAAACUUUCCCAUUGGGCAAUAAACAUUACUCCAGUCAAAGACAUUAUGGAAGAGGCAAACCUGAAACUUUCCCAUUGGGCAAUAAACAUUACUCCAGUCAAAAACAUUAUGGAAGAGGCAAACCUGAAACUUUCCCAUUGGGCAAUCAGCAUUACUCCAGUCAAAAAAAGUAUGGAAGAGGUGCUUCUCCAUCCGACAAUCAACCACCAAUUCCAUAGAAAUUCAAACACGGCUACUUUCUUGCCACGAGAAAGCGCUCAAUCGAUCCCCUUCUCCUCUAACAAACUACCAGAAAUUUUCAACCAUUUUUCAGUGAAGCCAACAUCUGAGGAAGCCAAAACAAUUAAGCAAACAAUCGAAGAGUGUGAAGCUCCAGACCUUAAGGGAGAGGAAAUAUAUUGCGCCACAUCUUUAGAAUCAAUGGUUGAUUUUAGCACUUCGAAGCUUGGAACAAGAAACGUUGAAGCAAUCUCGACGGAGGUAUUGGAAAAAGGAGCCACCAUGUCCAUCCAAAACUAUACAACAAUGCCGGGACUGAAGAAGUUGGCAGGUGACAAAGUCGUUGUGUGUCAUAAGCAGAACUAUCCCUAUGCUGUGUUUUUCUGCCAUGCAAUAAAACAUACAGCAGCUUAUGCUCUCUCCCUGAAAGGCGAUGAUGGGGAGAAGGUUAAAGCAGUAACCAUCUGCCAUCUAGACACAUCAGAAUGGGACCCAGAGCAUAUGUCCUUCAAAAUCGUCAACGUUAAGCCCGGAACCAUUCCCAUCUGCCAUUUCAUUUCCACUGAUGCUAUUGCCUGGGUUCCGAACCACAAAUCUGCAUGAUCAUCACUUAGCACUAGUACUGUGCGUAUAAUAUGCCUGUAUAAUUAUCUCCCUACUUAUUUCUGCCUGUUCAUCAUGUGGUGUAAGAUAUAUGUUGAGAUGAAGUUUUUGGGAUUAGUGGUCGAAAUUAACCCGAUCAUGUUUUCUCUUGUAACUAUAUAGACUUCAACUUGUACUCAUAAUAAAGCAUGCUAUAUUUAUGAAGAGAUAUUAAUCUUCAGGCAAAUAGAUAUUAUGAAAACAUAUAUAGCAAUUUAUCCAGAAGAAAUAUUAUGAAAUGAAAAGAAUAAAAAGUAAAAAAACAGAAGGAAAGGAAUUCGCACCUGCUAUGUAUGAAAGGACCAAGAUUGUUUUCCCUUUGGUUAAUGACUAGAAAAGCUCACUUGCAGAUUGCUUUCUCUGACCGUAGAUGCAACAGAAAUUUUCUCUUAAUAAUAGCACAAUGAUCGGGUAAUUGUAAGAACAAGUUGAUUUAAAAUUCCUUGACCCAAAAAAAAAAAAAAAAUCAUUUCAAAUUCAGGUCAACCCAUAGAUUUCUUGCCUUUUUCUUCUUCAUCACGUUGGGCUUGUCUUCUUCUUGAGGAUUGUAUAGGCCCAGGAAAUGCUUUGAGGUAGUUUUUGGCCUUGGAAGUUGGGACCCAACCCAACUUCACAAAAAGAAAACAGAUUUGCCAAAAAUCAAAUUUCAAGUCUCUCCUCAGAUCACUAAUACAGAUCAAAUUUUGGAUUUGAUGAACUAAAGUGGUUUUACUUUCUCUGUCAGUGUUUGAUGACUUAAUUUGUUAUUUACUUCUUUUUUUUUUUUUACUUGAUCUUUGUAGGGGUUUUUUUCUUCCGGUAACUUAAACGGGCUGGGCUGCCGUAAAGGGUAGAUUGAUGAAAUUGUCUCCUUUGUCUGAGUUCGAAAAUCAAGCCCCAAAAGCGCUUCGAAAGGGCAGUAGAGCCUUAGGAAGCGUUCUAGUCAUCUUCACCAACUAAAACAACAGCAACUUACAGAUGAUUUCUUAAGGCUUACAGAUAAAUUUUCUAGCUUGGCAUGAGAGGCUUGUGACAUGGAAGCAAAAUCAGCAUGAGUUUAGCACCAAAGAGGAAAAUAUGGCUUCCUAGGGAGAAAUGGGAGUGUUUAAGGUGAGGAAGAAGAGGUUUGCAGGCUGAUUUGGCUGAGGAGAGAGAAAGAAAGAACAAUGUUCUUCCAGUAGCUUGACAAAGCUUCUGACAGAUGUGAAAGUCGUCUGCCAUAAGAGGAAAAUGAAGAAGAAUGGUGAAUAGUGCAUGAAAUUGCUGGGUUUUUGCAGGUAAGAGAGAAAGCUUGCUCUCUGAAUUUGAGUUGGUUUUUGGUUGGGUAGAAGAGGCCCCCUUUUAUAGCUGCGGGAAACCAUCUUUUUUCAAGAAACCCUAAUGGUUUCUAUCCAUUUUGGCCAAGCUUUUCCCUUCAUUUCUCUUCUCCUCCCUUGACUUUUCCUAUCUUGGUGAAAUUUCCUCUGCCUAUUUGCACAAAAUUAGAGAUUUUGAGGAGCUCAAGACCCCUUUCCCGCAGCUGCCUCAGUGGAGAAUCCCCAUUUUCAGUCAUCUUUCUUCCUUCUUUUCUCCCAUCUUCCAAGGUUAGGUCUGAUGAGGGAAAGAAAUGGGUAUGCACACUGGUUUGAAGGGUAUUUUUGCUUGAAACUUGUUCUCUCCCAUGUGCUGGAGCUUCCCAGCAACUUACACACAUGGAUAUUUUGGCUUUCAUCGUGGCUUUUGUUUUCAGCUAGGUGCUGGAGAUUUCGCAGAUAUUUUCAUGAGUUGCUUGGGCCUUCUAGGACAAUAGGUUGGUUUAUCAAGUGAAUGGGCUAACUUCAUCAAUUGUUGGGCUAUUUUGGUUGAGUUAAUGGACUAUUUUGGUUGAAGUAAUGGGCUAUUUUGGUUGAAUUAAUGGGCUAUUUUUCUCUCUUUGUGCUCACCCACAUAUUUGGGCCUAAGAAAUGGGCUUGAGUUCCGGGGCUCCCAAGCAACCCCGGGACUUCCAUUUCUCGGCCCAUCAAUGGGCCUCAUAUCAACUUAUUACCAUCCAUAUCACAACCCACUCAAGCAAGCCCUGGGCAUCUUGCGUGGCUUGGGCCCACUUAAGCUUGUAGCGUGACGUGUUGCUUAUUUGCUUGGCAUGGCAUGUGUGCAAGCGCAUAUGACGAACUUUAGCGUGCCCAAAUUGGGUUUAUUCUCGGUAAGGUAUCGCAUUGGGCCGAGAAUUUAAUUGGGCAGAACUGUGGAUUUUUGGGCCUCAACAAUCUUAUAUAUAUUGGUUUUCUUUUUUUCCUUAAUAUUCACCACCUUUCUGUUGCAUAAGUAUUUCAGUCUUAACGGGUUUCCAUCUACCACUCAUCUUUGCUCUUUUAAGUGUAAGCUUUUUUUUUUUUUUUUUAAGCACAAGAUUAGAGGGGAGGGGGAUUUCUCAAUGUAAGCUUUGCAGUUUCAUAAUUAAUAUUUCCAAUAUCUCACUGUUAGUAAAAUAUGGAACAGGAAAAGUAUGAAUAAAAUACACACAUGUUUUAUUUAGCAAAAUUUUGACAAGAUACAACUGAAAAGUUUGGCCACUAUAUAAUAUUUUGAUAUAAUUUCUACACUUCUUCUCAAAAGAUUAGAUCACUUCACAUCUUGUGUAUGUGAAAACUAAUGUAAAAAGUUGAAACUUUAUCGUAAAACCUCGACAAAAAUGAGCUCUACUAGAAAAUGUUCAAUUUGGAUUCGUUGAUUUAAAUGGCAAUUUGACACUUGAUAGAAAUUUUUACAUACAUGUGUUAGUGUUUGAUCACUUCACAUGUUACUUACUAUAUUUAUUCCACUCAAGUUAGGUAAAUAUUAUUAUCAAACAUUUCAAUUAAUUUGUGAUUUUUUUAUUAUUUAAUCAAUUAUGAAUUAAUGGAUUCUUCUUGUUGUUUUGAAGACCAAUAAAAAAAAAAGGGUAAGGAUGGCUUAUAACUCUGAUAAAACAACAGUGACGUGGACAGCAGAUGUUACACCGUACUGAAGAUUUUUGAAGAUUCUUUAUUUGGGUUUCUUUCAAGAUGAAAACCAUAUUAUCCACAACCACAAUGAAGAAGACAGAAAAUGGAGUAAUUCAGAUGUUACCAGCCAUCCACGACAAACUGAAGUCUGCAAAGCAUUCGUAAUCUAAAGGGAGACUUUGGAAAAGCCCAAAGGAGAGAGAAAAUUUUUAAAAGAAGCAAAAAUGGACAAAAUUGCCCUUAUUUAUUUUUUGAUUUCCUAAGAAAUCCUUUACAUUUGCAUGUCUUUGGUUUGAAAGUUGAGAGGUUAUUCUGUCUUUUUUCAAAAAGCUUUGGCUUUUUCCAAAAGUGAAAGUUUUUUUAUGGGUAAAACCUAAAUUUACUUAAUCCCUAAAAAGGAUGGGGAGGCUGCGCAAUACUUAGCCACGUGUAGGCCAGGAGGCUUUCCAAUUUUAAUAUAUAUAUAAAUUGAAAAAAUAAAAUAAAAAUCAAUCUAUUAUCCUAUAUAAAAUAAAGAUUAUUGCUUCCAUGGGCAGUGCUAUGCACAGGACAGUGCCUGCCCAGCACAAAUUUUUUUUAAAUAAAAAAAAAAAAUCUACAUAUGUUAUAAGCUCAUCCAAAAAAAUAAAAUAAAAUAAAAGUAAAUUCUACAUAUAUGUUGCCCAUCUAGGUGGUUCCAUAUCUUCUCUCUCCUUCUCUUUUGGCUAUUAGACUUCUUGUUUCUCUCUCUCUCUUUGCUACCUCACAUCAGCAAGUUUCUCCCUCUCUUUUUUUGGGGUCAAAUUCUUCCUCUAUUGACAAAAUCUUCUAUUAUCUUGGGUGGGCAACUUGGCAACAACAUCUUCUCUUCUCCUUUUGUCAACAACAAGUAUUAUUCUCAUUCUCUCAUUUGCUAUAUAUCUUUAAUUAUAGUUUUAAUUUAAAAUUGAGUAUUCUAGGGUUUAAUUAGGGAUGAAUUAUAAUUUUAGAAUUUUGUUGAAAUUAAUUAAGGCUUCGAUUAGGGGUGAAUUAUUCUACUGCUUUGGUUUGGAAUUUUGUUAAAAUUGAGUAUUAUAGGGUUUAAUUAUGGAUGAAUUAUAAUUUUUGAUUUUGGUAUUAUUGAGAUGUUAUUAUGAGAAUUUGUUUCAUUUUUUUAUUGGUAUAUUUGAUUAAAAUUCUUUCUACAUAUUAUUCAUAGGCUAUCUUUUAUUAUGUCGGAUCACAAUCGGAAUCCCAAGAGAACAAAGAAUUUGAAUAGUGUUGUUUUGUAUUGCAUUGCAUUUACUUUUGGUUUUAGUUUUGCUUUUAGUGUAAAUUACUCAAAUGGUCCUCAAAUUUGUACCCGAUUUACAUUUUGGUCCAUAAACUAAAUUAUUCAUUCAAAUGGUGCACCAACUCUUUAUUAAUCAGUGCUUUGGUCCUACCGUUAUGUUUUCUAUUAAAUUUAGUCAUGUGAGCAGCACAUGCUACAUUUGUAGGGGUAAAUAAGACUUUUGACCACUUUAUCACCUAUGUAUCACCACUUUAUAACCUAUUUGGAGAACAUAGGUCAGUUAUGGACGGUUUUACAAUUAUAUUUGACGGCAACAUUAACAUAAUGUAACAGUGGGAUCAAUGGAGCGAUUAAUAUAGAGUUGAUGGACCGUUUGAACGAAUAAUUUAAUUGAGGGACCAAAACGUAAAUUGAGUAUAAGUUUGAGGACCAUUUGAGUAAUGUACCCUUCGCUUUUAUAUUUGUUGAACUUUUAUUUAUGGAUAGAUAUGCAUUUGAGGGUAAGACCCAUUAUGUUCCCCCUGACUUGGUGUAUCUUUUUAUGUUUAUUAAUGAAAUUCACUCGAACUGUUGAGUUUAGUAUGUAAGUUUUGCCUAACCGGCUUUUGAAUCCUAGAACCGCCACUGUUGCUCCAUCCUCCAUGCACUUGCAUGUGCUCUUACAAAGUGUGAAGUAGAUUUUGUGUGCUCCAAGUCAUUGACUAGAGCUGAAACAUGGUUAGCUAGAUUUAUAAGGACCCAUCUCUCUAUUUCCUAGACAUAUACCCAUCUCUCUAUAAAUCUAUAUGUAAAACUCAAUUUCAAACUUAAAUGACCAGUAAGAUAUAAGAGGUCAUAGUAUUCCUAUGUUUUUACAUCGUUGCCACCAGACUUCUUAUUUUAUUUAUAAUUUAUUUCAAGCAUUUCAUUAACUGCCAUAAUUGUAAUUAAUACUCCAUAUUAAUAGCAUAUCAAUCACCCCAUUUCUUUUGAUUGCCAUUCCCUCUAACAUAUCGCCCCUUAAAAUUGAAAACCAAAAAAAAAAAAAAUGUAAAUUACAUAUCCAAUAAUGUACCUAUGAAAAAUAUAAAUAUAAAUAUAUACGUAUAAAAAUAUAGGUUUAUUAUUUACCAAAUAAAAAAUAUAAAAAAACUAGGUCAGUUGCUUUGUAAUUGAAAUUUCUAUACAUUUUCCACAAAUUAAAAAUAGGUACACAAUAAUUUAUAGAAAAUAUAGGUGCAUUAUUUAUCCAUAGGUAAAAAUACCUAUAAAUGCACAUAGGUAAAUUAUUUACCCAUAUAUUAUUUUUUUGCUAAGGAUUUACCUUAGUUUUUAGUAGAUUAAUUUACCUACCUAGAGGCAUAGGUAGCUUAAAAAAAUUGUAGCACCUUAGUUGGUUGCAUACUAAUUUACCUACCUAGAGGCAUAGGUUGCUAAGAAAAAAUGUAGGUAAAUUCAUGUACCUAAACACAUAGGGGUCAAAUAGAGAAUAACAUGUUAUUUCCCUUCGAACAAAUUAAUUUCAAACCAUAACAAUAAUUGAAUUCGGAAAUUGGUAUAAAUAAAAGGAAAUAAAUAAGCUAUCAAUUUGAAAAUUAAAAUAAGAAAUGAUCAAGUAGUCAUAUUUGAAAAAAAAGAAAAGAAUAUAUUCUUGGUUUUUAUAGGAACAACGUGUAUAUUCAAACCAAAUGGCAGUAACUACACCAAGCUUUAAUUACUUUUUUUUAAGGCCAAAAGUCACUUUUGGUCUCUGUAGUUUGACACUUCUAUUACUUUUGACGCUGUAGUUUCAAUUCCGUCAAUUUUGCCAUUGUAGUUUCAUAUUUGUAGCAAUUCAAGGACAUGUUAAUAUUAAUGUCAAUUUGUUUAAUGAUGCAAGGGGUAAUUUCGUCAUCCCAAAAUCCUUGAGCAUAAAAGCUUGUCUGAAAUUCUCCCCAUUUCAUAUUAGGGCUCGAAAUUCAACCACUAAUCCCAAUUUUUGAAGAACCCUAUACCCAAAUGACCAAUUUCAAGCCCUAAUAACAAAUUAGGGAAGUUUUAGAUGAGCUUUUAUGCUCAAGGAUUUUGAGUUGAAGAAAUUGCCCCUUGCACUGUCAAAGAAAUUGAUAGGAAUACUGACUUGUCCUUGAAUUGCUACAAAUACAAAAAUACAGGGUCAAAAUUAACAGAAUUUAAACUAUAUGGUCAAAAGUGGUUAAAGUGCCAAACUACAAGGACCAAAAGUGACUUUUAGCCUUUUUGUUUAAAUAAGGAAAAAACUUACCUAUUAAAUCCUUGGAAUCUAUACAAAAUUGAAACACAGUUAAUCAGCAUUGAAUUGCAGCUAAUUUCUUAAACAAGGGUAUUAUAGGAAUUUAAAAAGUAUAACAUUUAAUCCAUUGAGCUUGAUUAGGAAUCUUGAUGAGUUGGAUCCUAGUUAUAUAGUUUCUCUUAUAAAAAUCGGGUUUUAUUUAUAGACAAAUAAAACAAUGGGUUGUAGGUAAGAAAAUAUUAAUUUGAAGGGAAAGUGUCACAUCCUGGGAUCGGCUCCGCCGUAGCACGAUAUUGUCCGCUUUGGGCCCCCCUCUCUGCCCGCACGGUUUUGUUUCUGGGAGCUCACGAGCAACUUCCCAGUGGGUCACCCAUCCUGGGAUUGCUCUGGCCCCCAACUCGCUUAACUUCGGAAUUCCUAUGACUCCGAAGCCAGUGAGCUCCCAAAAGGCCUCGUGCUAGAUGGAUGCGGGUGUGUACAUAUAAGACACAUCACCCCCUCUCCGUUGGUUGAUGUGGGAUCUUACAGAAAGAGUCAAAUUUACUAAAUUAAUAAAGCAUAAAUUGGAAAGGGAAAAGAUCUAGAGGAUGCAUUGUAGGAUUGCUCAUGCCAAUAAUUGCACCCUCUCGAUAUUGAAAAACCUAUUGUGUAUUAUUAUCUUCAAUCAUGAAUGAUGCACCUAAAACCCAAGUGUCCCAAGCCAACCAUUGCGCUCAUACCACUUGUUGCAGUACACAUUCACCCGUUUUUAAAGAAAGAAAUUCUACCAAUCGAUAUUGUCUCAAAUUUAAUCACAUAGGUCUAUUAUGGUUAACCAUAUGUACUUUUAUCGGCCAUAUAGAGGUACCUUUUUCCAACGUGCAACAAUUGUAUUUGAUUCACAAUUAUGUCUGAUAUACAUCACAUCAUGCCACUUGCCUCAAAUGAAUUUAAUUGAGUGAGGCAAUGGGAAGUAAUUAAGCUCUAUAUUGGUGGGUGGAGUGUUACUUCUGGAACCCUCAUCAUUCGUCCAUACAAGGGAACAAUUCCCUUCCUUCUAUAAAAUGGUGAAGCCAGUUGCUAUUGUUUGUUAGAGUUUUAGGAUCUGAGUGUUAGAUUUUGUGAGAAGAGAGAAGAGAAUUUAGUGAAAACUUCCAAUACUGCUCUGCUAUACGUGUAGCAGAGAGAACAUUCUGUUUUGUUAUAUAUUUUCAGUACAACAACACACACUUGGUGUGAGAAGAAAAAUGACUGUUAUGCACAGUACCAGCUGGAUGCUUUCCAUCAAAGUAAUCUCAGCCAUUCACUAUCUAACCAAUCAAGCUAUGACACCUGGACUAAGUAUAAAGAAAUACAACUAAGCAGAAAACAAGACUCUUAAUCCUGAAAUCAACUUAAGCACUUAUAAUUCAACACUCCCCUUUAAGUCUUGAGGUGAUUUCACUCCAAGCAUGCCUCUGAGAUAAUUGAAUCUGUCUUUGGCCAGAGGUUUGGUAAAAAUGUCAGCCAAUUGUUCAUUUGUAGGACAAUAUUCCAGAUUGAUUACCCCUUCUUGCAAUGCAUCCUUGAUGAAGUGAUACCUCCUGUCAAUAUGCUUUGUCUUCUGGUGGAAUACAGGGUUUUUAGUGAUUGCAAUUGCUGAGAUAUUAUCACAAUGCAAUGGAGUAGCUUCAGUUUGAAGCUCUCUAAAGUCUUCUAGCACAAAACGGAGCCAAAUAGCUUGAGUAGUAGCCUCAGCUGCACUGAUGUACUCAGCUUCUGCAGUAGACAGUGCAACACAGUUCUGUUUCACUGAGGCCCAAGAAAAUACUCCACUUCCAAAACUAAACGCAUACCCUGAUGUGCUCUUGCAAUCACCAACUGAUCCUCCCCAAUCACUGUCACAGUAACCAACUAGAAUUGAUCUUUUGCCUUUCACAUAUUCAAGACCAUAGUCCAGAGUUCCUUUGAUGUAUCUCAAAACCCUUUUAGCUGUUCCAUAGUGUCUAUUUGUAGGACAGUGCAUGAAUCUAGCUAGCAAGCUUGAGGCAUACAUGAUGUCUGGUCUUGUAGCAGUUAAGUACAGCAAGCUACCAACAAUGCUUCUGUAUUGUUCUUCAUUUGCAGCUCAACUCCCAUCAUCCUUAGCUAGUUUCUCAGUGGCAACAAGGGGUGUUGUCACAGGUUUGCACUCAGUCAAACCAAACUUGCUCAACAAGGUGCUAGCAUAUUUCUUUUGAUGUAGAAAUAUACUAGACUCAGUCUGAAUAACUCCCAUGCCAAGAAAGUGAUGAAGUAAGCCCAAAUCAGUCAUCUCAUACUUAGCCAUCAUGUCUUCUUUGAAUUCAGCCAACAAUGCUUGACUGCUCCCUGUAUACACAAUAUCGUCUACAUAGAUAGACACAAUUAGAAUCUCCUUAUCUCCCCUUACUUUGGUAUAUAAGGUUGUUUCACUUAAGCUUUUCACAAAACCACAUUGAGUGAAGUAGCUGUCUAUCUCUCCAUACCAAGCCCUUGGGGCUUGCUUCAGACCAUAAAGGGCUUUAUGCAAACGAUAAACCUUGUCUUCUUUACCUUUAAUUACAAAACCUUCAGGCUGACUGACAUAAACUUCCUCUUGCAGCACACCAUUAAGGAAAGCAGACUUCACAUCAAGCUGGAACAAUUUCCAAUCCUUUUGAGCAGCUAGAGCAAUAAGUGUUCUAAUGGUGUCCAAUCUGGCUAUAGGUGCAUAAGUCUCAUUAUAAUCCAGUCCAGGCUUCUGAGCAUACCCCUUAGCCACUAAUCUUGCUUUAUUCUUUUGCACUGAGCCAUCCAAAUUCAGCUUUGUCUUGUACACCCACUUAACUCCAAUCACUGGUUUUUCAGUUAGUCUAUCUACCAAUUCCCAUGUUUCAUUCUUUUCAAUCAUCUGCAGUUCAUCUUCCAUAGCCUUAAGCCAAGAUUCAUCCUGAGCAACAUCAGCAUAUUUUUCUGGUUCCAUGAUACACAAGUUACACUGAGCUAGAACAUCAUCUAGCCUUCUCCAUUUUAGAGGGGUGUGAUCAUAAGCUUGAGUUCUCCUUUCUUCACUGCUUAUAUCACCUGGAGUUGAUGAAAUGCUCUCUUGCAUAUCCAAAGUUUGAGGUGUACCAGUAGAAUUCUCAUUAGAACUGUCAGAUUUCAAGUCCAAAUCAACUUGGUUUUCAAUUGAGUAUGUUGUCAUAACUGAACCAUUUUUGUUUGUCCAAUGCCAAGCAUUUUCUUCAUCAAAUGUCACAUCCCUUGAUAGUAAAAGCUUGUUAGAAACAGGAUCAAAAACUCUAUAUCCUUUUUCACAAGUUGCAUAUCCCACAAACACUCCCUUUGUACUCUUAGGAUCCCGCUUGUGUCUCAAUUCAGUUGGCACAUGAACAUAACACAGAGAACCAAACACUUUCAGAUGUGCAAUUCCAGGCUUCCUUCCACUAUAUGCUUCGAAUGGAGUAAUGUUGUUGAGAGCUUUGGUAGGACAUCUGUUCAGCAAAUAGAUAGCUGUAUGCACAGCUUCUGCCCAUAGGAAAUAAGGCAUUCCCUUCUCAUGUAACAUUGAUUUUGCCAUCUCAAUGACAGUUCUAUUCUUCCUCUCAACUACUCCAUUCUGCUGAGGAGUAUAGGCCAUUGUAAGCUGCCUUUGAAUGCCAUUAGCUUCACAAAACUCCAAAAAAUCAGUAGACAUAAACUCUCCACCCCUGUCACUUCUUAUGCACUGAACCUUGUGUCCAGUUUGUAAUUCAGUCAUGGACUUGAACUUCUUGAAACAAAAGAAGGCUUUUGACUUGUUUCUCAAGAAGUAUACCCAAAUCAUUCUUGUGAAAUCAUCUAUAAUCAGCAUGAAAUAUCUGUUCCUUGCAACAGACUCAUUUCUCAUGGGACCACAGAGAUCCACAUGUAUUAGCACUAGUACUUUGCUUGCUCUUUGAGCUUGAUCUUUUGGAAAAACAUUUCUGUGCUGUUUUCCAAAUUGGCACCCGUCACACACACCACUUUGUUCUUCCAAUUUUGGUAAACCAUGUACCAUUUCUUUAUCACUUAGCUGCUUCAAUCCUCCAAAAUGCAGAUGACCAAAUCUCUUGUGCCAAAUCCAUGUGGAUUGAAGAAAACUAGUCUUCAUUAGUAACUGUUUUUCAGCUAGAAAAGAGACAGGAUAGCAUCUGUUACUCUUCAUUUGCACCUUUAUGAUGAGAUAAUCCAUGGAUGGGCUAUCAAAUACCCUGCACAUCCCUUCUCCAAACACUAGACAGUACCCAUGUUCAUCCAUCUGCCCAACACUUAGCAGAUUUUCUUUCAAUCCUGGCAGAUACAUUACUUCUCUGAUGUAUUUCCUGCCCUUUGCUGUAUCAAUACUCAGUGAGCCAAUACCAGCUACACUCACUAAUGCACCAGUUGGCAUUUGUACUCUCCCAGCUACAUUAGUUCUCACAUCAACCAGCAAAUCUAAAUUUCCUGUCAUAUGAUUGCUGCAGCCACUGUCAAUGUACCAUUCAUUGGUUUUGAUCUCAGUGGUUGAGCAAUUGGCAUAAAACAGGUUUCCUGUAACCUCCAUUUGAUUUACACAAUUAGCCUUCUGCACAUUUUUGCUCACUGUACAGUCUCUAGCAAGAUGUCCAACUCUGUCACAGUUAUAGCAUUUUGGUUUUCCCUUAUACCUGCACUCACCAAAAUGAUGCUUUGAACACACCUUGCAUUGAGGCUUUGUGUUUUCCUGAUUUGAGAACUGUGUUGAAGUGUGGUUCUGUGCAGAAUAAUUAUUCUGCUGUGUCUUGUCUUUUGCCUCCCAUGACUUCCCUUUAGAGUUCCAGCUUCUCUGUGACUUAGAUGAACCAGACUGAGAAGCAUUUUUGUUCUGACCCUUUGAAUUCACAGUGAAUGAGGCAAAUGCCUUCUCAGCUGUAUCAACACUAUGCAUUUCAAGCCUUUGCUCCCGACUCUUCAAAAUGGCAGUUACUUCCUGCAAAUCCACAGUUUCUAGUGUCUUUGUGUUUUCAAUCACAAUGCAUAUAGGGUCAUACUUCUUACUUAGACUAAUUAACACCUUCUGAACCUACCUCUCAUUUGACAGAACUUCACCAAAUGUUUUCAUUUGGUUAAUCAAUUCAGUUAGUCUAGUAAGAUAUUCAGAUAAGGUUUCACUAUCACGCAUCCUACUGUAUUCAAACUCACGUCUAAGGUUUUGAAGCUUUACCGAUCUAACAUGCUCUCCACCAUGAUAUUCUGAGUACAGCAGAUUCCAAGCCAUCUUUGCAGAGUCAGCAUUGGCAAUUCUGGGAAAAAUCUGAUCAGAAACAGCAUUUUGAAUGAUACCCAAGGCCUUCGCAUCCUUCAUGAGAAUCGCAGCUGUUUUCUCAUCAACUUCUUCUUCUGAACCAUCCUCAGAUUCCUGCUUCGUCUUUGAAUCUGGGAUUAAAAACCCCUUCUCUACCAAACCCCAUAAACCAUAUGAUCUGAAUAUGGUUACCAUCUUAAUCCUCCAAAAUUCAUAGUUCUCACCUGAGAAAAUGGGGAUUCUAGCCUCUGAACUUCCAGAUCCAGCCAUUACGAAUUUCAGAUUCGCCUGGAAACAAGAUGUUUUCAGAUUUGACCCUUGAUCGAGCUCAAUCAGCUUCGUGAGCUUAGAAUGAGCUCACCUCGAUCGAUUUUCUUCACAGAACAACGCCCAGCUUCAGAUAAUCAAACUUGGCUCUGAGGCCAUGUUAGAGUUUUAGGAUCUGAGUGUUAGAUAUUGUGAGAAGAGAGAAGAGAAUUUAGUGAAAAUUUCCAAUACUGCUCUGCUAUACGUGUAGCAGAGAGAACAUUCUCUUUUGCUAUAUAUUUUCAGUACAACAACACACACUUGGUGUGAGAAGAAAAAUGACUGUUAUGCACAGUACCAGCUGGAUGCUUUCCAUCAAAGUAAUCUCAGCCAUUCACUAUCUAACCAAUCAAGCUAUGACACCUGGACUAAGUAUAAAGAAAUACAACUAAGCAGAAAACAAGACUCUUAAUCCUGAAAUCAACUUAAGCACUUAUAAUUCAACAUUGUUACCAUAAGAGCCAGCUCCGACUUUCUUUAAUUUCAGUCCUAACGGGGUUUCAUCUUCCACUCAUCUUUGCUCUUCUCAGUGUAAGCUCUGCAAUUUGAUUAACUUUCCCAUUAUCUCUCACUGUACUCUAUAUAAAGGAAUAAGUGUCGUCCACUAAUUAAUUACACUUUGUGAGAUUUGAUUUUAAUUAGAGUUCGAAUUGAUGUUGCAGCUAGCAGCGGUGGCACUGGCAAACCAUGCUGCUCAACCAGCACCUCAACUUUACUGGAACUCCGUCCUGCCAAACACACAAAUGCCAAGAGCUAUCAGUGAACUUCUGCAUCCUGGUUUGUGUUGAAUAAAUAUAGUAUGUUACUGGAGUACGUAUGGCAACAUAUUCACAAAUGUGUCACGUAUUUUCCAAUAUGACGUUGAUAUAUAAUUGCAGACUCCACAAACGAAGAAAAGAGCACAAAUGUCAUGAAUGCUGUUGGGAAUGGAAAGCCAAUUGACCACAAGGGCAACCUGAAAAUACUGUACUACCACAGCUUGCACGACGCCCAUUUUCUUACAAGAGUGAUGAUCGUCCCACUGACAAUCAACUCCAUUAUAAAAACGUAGCUAUUUUCUUCUUGGAGAAGGACAUGCGCCCUGGCACAACAAUGAGCUUCCAAUUCCCUAGAAAUUCAAACACGGCUACUUUCCUGCCACCAGAAAGAGCUCAAUCGAUCCCCUUCUCCUCUAACAAACUACCAGAAAUUUUCAACCAUUUUUCAGUGAAGCCAACAUCUGUGGAAGCCAAAACAAUUAAGCAAACAAUCGAAGAGUGUGAGGCUCCAGGCAUUAAGGGAGAGGAAAUAUAUUGCGCCACAUCUUUAGAAUCAAUGGUUGAUUUUAGCACUUCGAAUUUUCGAACAAGAAACGUUCAAGCAAUCUCGACAGAGGUAUUGGAAAAAGGUGCCACCAUGUCCAUGCACAAGCAUACAACAAUGCCGGGACUGAAGAAGUUGGCAGGUGACAAAGUCGUUGUGUGUCAUAAGCAGAACUAUCCCUAUGCUGUGUUUUACUGCCAUGUAAUAAAACCAACAGCAGCUUAUGUUCUCUCCCUGAAAGGCGAUGAUGGGGUGAAGAUUAAAGCAGUAGCCAUCUGCCAUCUAGACACAUCAGAAUGGAACCCAAAGCAUUUGGCCUUCCAAAUCCUCAAAGUUAAGCCCGGAACAAUUCCCAUCUGCCAUUUCCUUCCCACUGAUCAUAGUGUCUGGGUUCCGAACCACAAAUCUGCAUGAUCAUCACUUAGCACUGUACGUAUAAUAAGCUUGCACCCCUGUAUAAUUAUCUCCCUACUCUACUUAUUUCUGCCUCUUCAUGUGGUGUAAGAUAUAUGAUGAGAUGAAGUUUUUGGGAUUAGUGGUCGGGUUGCCUUAAAAACACAGAUUACAGAAACUGCUUGAACUUAACCCGAUCAUGUUUUCUCUUGUACUCGUAAAGCAUGCUGUUGUGGUUCUACUUAAUUUCGUUCUCCCCAAUGUUUGAGUGUUUAAUUGUUACGUUGGAUAAUGCUUGUAGUUAGAGAAGCCUUCAUUUAUAUCAAAGUCCUCAACUUGUAAAGAUAUCAAUGGUCCUAGUGCUGCCACGUGUAAGAAGAUUGAAGAAUAAAGCUGUUGAGAUAUUGUUAGACCUGUUAUGCAGUUUAGGAAAACUGUUAGUAUUGAUAAGAGAAGGUUAGAGAUGUUAGAGAGGUUAGAAAACACGUGAACAAGGCUUUAACUCAGCUGAUAUAAAGUCUGUAGUUGUGCUCAGUUGAACUUAAUGAGAAAUACAACAAGUCUCUUCUCUAUCUCUGAAAUUCUCUCUGCUCUCUCUGCUUUACUUCUUUUGUCUCUGCUCUACAUUUUUUUUCAAUCUUCCUAUCUUAACAAAACUAUCAAGAAUUAAUGCAUCCAGAAACAUAUAUACCAAGACGCAAAACAACAUAUUUUUCAUGCUCUGUCUGUAACACCAAAGCAAACUUCCUUUAUCACAAAAGGAUCAAAUUCCAGUACUAAUCUAAUCCAUCAUGUAAAGCAUACAAUCUACAAGUGCCUCCCUUAAUUUGUCCAUUGGAUAUAUAUGUCACUUUUUGGUAAUUUGGUAUAGCAGCACCACGUAGUCUUGAAAUAGUAGUGCGGCUAUACCAAAUAUACCAUUUGCCCCUGCAUUUAACAGAAAAGUAAACAAAAUUGACGGUAGAACUAUUUGUCCUAACGAAACUGCAGUUGAAAGACCAUGAGAACGAUUUUGAAAAUUGAGGGACUCAAAUGAAAAUUGGGUCUAAGUUCAAGAACCAAUAAAACGAUUAACCCAUAGAUUUUGGAUCCAGUACCACAUCCCAAAGAGAAAACCACAAGUUUGCAAGCAAGUUUGUCCAUAAUAACACUACGUACAGUAUGGGCAGUGCGCUAGACUCAUCUCACUUUCUCAACCUAUCCUAUAGUUGUCUAAAAGAGUUUCUAAUUUAAUGUACUGAGAUUUACGAAAGAAAUAUCAGAGAAACAAUUUUCAGGCAAUAAAAAAAUGUCUUGGCAAGAAAAUGUACAAUUUGUUACAUAACUUAUUAAAUAUGAACAGUUGAAAGAAAAAAGAAUCUGGAUGAGGGAUUUGCAAAUUCCUAUGGCCCAAUUACCUUUUUUUCUUUGUUGUUUUUUUUUUUUUUUUUUUGGUUCUUUUGAUCCAGUAGCAUAUUCCAAAGAAUGAAAACCACAGGCAUGCAAUGCAAGCUCUUUUCCCACGUUUUCCUCUGUUUUUCUCCUAUCAUGGAAGUGAUUAAAACACACCUCUAAGCUUGUUUUGCGUUUGGUAGCCGAGUGUAAAAGCUCAAUGCAAGAUAGUUUGAGGUAGAAUUUUCUCCUAUUUUAUUAGGACAAUGAUAAUUAAAAAAAAGUGUGAUUCAUUGAAUAUUUGCGGGGUUUUGUUCAGACCUGACAAAGUUCUAAGUCAACACAUCAAAUUCCUUUUUCCAACAUGCAACAAUUGUAUUUGAUUCCCAAUUUUUUCUGAUAUACAUCACAUCAUGCCACUUGCAUCAAAUGAAUUUAAUUGAGUGAGGCAAUGGGAAGUAAUUAAGCUCUGUAUUCGUGGGUGGAGUGUUACUUCUGGAACCCUAAUAAUUCGUCCCUACAGGACUCUAGAACUCUCAAACUUCUUACAAGGACUACUUAACUCUAUAGCUUAAUGCAUAUAGCAUAUAUAUGCAAACACAAUUAGAAAUUCUACAACAGAAGCAAGAUCAAUCUCACUAUGCCUUCUAAACAAACAAACAAAUAAAACAAGCAUAUUAAUUGCUUUAAUCACUCUACUAACAUCAACACAGCACACUUAGUUUACUAACAGAUGAUAUAGAAAGGAAAAAAAAGGACCAAUAGGGAGAAAAUGGUGAACUAAGGAGAGACUAAUACUUCUGGUCCUUAGAAGGCAUAACAGAAAUAAUAGAGCACACUGCUUGAAUGCAAGUCAGUAUUAGGAGCAAAACAGCUGCAAUGAAAGAAAUAGUUGCCCAAGGUGUAUUGAAAUAAUGUUGCCUCAAAUUUGCCUUCCAUUUGUUCCAAGGCUUUCUGCAGUAGCUAUUAAGGCGCUCAGAAAGAAUAGCAAAGUAGAAGCUUUCACGAUACACUGCAAUUCCUUUUCCGAGGUUGUUAAUCAGAGUGCACACCUCAUUGUAGUCACCAAGCAUAUUUUUGACAAUCCCAUCCUUCAGAAGGAACUCCACAUCCUUUUCGGUGUUCACAAACUCAUCCAUGAGUGAAACAUAAUCACUUAUGUAAUUCUUACGGCAAUGGCACUAUUCAAAGGCAAUGAGGUUACGGAGUGUGAGCUCUGUGUAAUCGUGUAUUUUUAGUUUUGGAAUUUCUAGAAUCCCAUCGUUGAAUUGUGUUAACGCAGCUUUCCUUUCCUAGCCUACACGGAAGUCAACUUCACAAUCUCCUCCUAGCAAUUAGUCUUUCCUGCUGUAAAUCAGAUUUCCUACUGUAAAUCGGAUUGUAUUCAUGUCUAUAUUAUUUCCUACUUUAAGUAGAUAUCUUGUACUAGUAUAAAUAGGGACUUUGUGUAAUCUGUUAAAUACAAGGAAAUAUAUACUCUGCAUGGUAUCAGCCUAACCUAGGGUUCUCUCUCUCUCCCUUAUUCGAUCCUCUUCUCCUUUAGGUCCACCUCAUGGCUUUGUCUGAAUCCACCAUCUCCCUCCCAAGCCCCAACUCUUCUAUUUUAUCAAGCUUAUUGACUCCAACUAUCUUCUUUGGCUCCGCCAACUCAAACCCUUUUUAGUCGGCCAUGACCUCUGGAAAUUUAUCGAUGGCAUUCAUAAACAACCUUCUGCCCACACCUCCACCUCUACCACCGCAACACCCACAACCACCACCACUCUUACCCAAAUCAAUCAUGCCCAUGCUCAGUGGUACCAACAAGACCAACUCAUUGUUAGCUACAUCACCAAUACACUCUCUGAGUCCAUUCUCUUUCUCACUGUUGGUUGCACCUCUGCCCGGGAUCUCUGGGAGUGUCUCCAACGCCACUUCUCUCAAUCCAGUAUGGCCAGUGAAUCUACUCUUCGUUUUAAACUCAUGGAUUUGCAAAAAGGCUCUGAACCCACUUAUGCUUACAUUCGUCAUGCUAAGUCCUUUGCCGAUUCACUGGCUGCCAUCAAUGAACCUGUCUCCCCAAAAGAACUUGUCACUACUGUGCUUUGGGGUUUAAGACCCUAUUGCAACAUCCUCGUCACAGCAAUUCUCAAUUUCCCUCUGCUUCCUAACUUUGCUAAUCUUCGUGCUCGUUUGUUAGCAUUUGACGCACAGACUCCUUGAAUCUCUCCUGAUCAAAACACAGCGCAAAUGGCCACCCAAUCCUCUCCUCACACCACCGGUCAUACUUCCUUCCCUUCUCACCGUGGUGGUGGCUCUUCCAACAACAGGCGUGGUGGCCUCGGUGGCUGGCGCAAUAGCGGCCGGGGUGGCUGGCGCAGCUUCUCAUCUUCCUGGAGCAACCCGUGGAAUGGCUUCCAGCAGCUCCAAUGACCUAAUCAACCAUGGCCUCCUUUUGCUCCAAGUUCUGGAUCUCAAAGCAACUGGCCUUCCUUUCAGCCUCCUUGGGCCUAAUCUGCCGCUUCUAUCAAACACUUUGCCCGGCCCAACUCAGCUCCUGGUGUCUUGGGACCCGCUUGGUGCACUACCUGCAAUACCAAUCACAUACUACUACAAUAUGUCCUCAUCGCUACAAUGGCCCAGAAUCCUUUCUUUGCUAGGGCUCAAUUCAUGUAGCCACCUGACUCUACUUGGUACCCUGACACAAGUACCACUCAUCAUAUGAUUGGUAGUCCUUCUAAUCUCCAAAAUCAAUCCUUCUAAUCUCCAAAAUCAACAGCCAUAUCAGGUUCAUAAUUCUGUAUUUCUUGGUAAUGGAGAUUCUCUCCCUAUCUCUCAUACUAGCUCUCUCUUUUGUCUUCCAUCUCUUCGUACUAAUCUUCUUUUUGUUGCCCAUUUUACUUGUGAUAAUUUAGUUUUCUUUGUCUUUACUCUUGACUUUUAUCAAAUCUAUGACUUAUGUACUGGUUCGUUACUCUUUCAGGGCCCUUCUAAAGAUGGUCUUUACCCACUUUCCAUCUCCUCUCACUCAUCCAUAGUCCCCCAUGCCCUUACCACCGUGCACUCUCCUGCUUGGCAUCAUUGCCUUGGCCAUCCAUUCCAUCGUGUGCUCUCUCAUUUAGCGCCAUCUCUAGGCUUUAAAGUUUCUCAUGCUUUCUGUAAGGAUUGUGCACUUAGCAAAUCCACCAAACUGUCAUUUCUUAGUAAUAAAACCUUUGCCCCAUCUCCCUUUUAUUUAAUUCACUCUGAUGUAUGGAUGUCCUCGGUCAUUUCUGUCACUGGUUAUCGCUAUUAUGUCUUGUUUACAGAUGACUUUUCUCGUUACUCCUGGAUCUAUCAUAUGCACCGUAAAAAUGAGGUCUUUUCUCACUUUCAAACCUUUCUUGCUAUGGUUAAAAAUCAAUUUCACACCACUGUACAAAUUCUUUAAAGUGACAAUGGCACUGAAUAUGUUAAUAAUGCUUUCUCUGAUCUUUGCAGUCAACUAGGCAUCCACCAACGUUUCACAUGUCCCCACACUCCCCAACAAAAUGGCCUAGCUGAACAUAAACACAGACACAUUGCCACCAUGAUCUGUCCCCGGUCAUUUAUUCAACCAUCUUGACCUUUUGCUUGAUCAUUUUCCACAAGCAACCGUCCACGUACCCCAAUAAUUUAAAAGGGCUGAUGAUCUUUAAUUUGGUGAAAGCUUCUAUCUACCUACCGUGCUAUAUAUGAGCUAUGCAAUCGUGACCGUGUUACAUGACGUCCCAAUGUCGUAGGGAUAAAAAAAUAAUAGUCAUGGUUUUCUUAUUAAUGUCAAUACAUUCAUAGCAAAGAGCUUGUAGCUCUAGUGGUUAAGAGCAAUUACCCAUGCACUUGAGAUAUUUUGUGUUUAAAUCCCCUCUUCCCCAAUAUUUCUUGUAUAAAAAUAAAAAUAACAAUAAUAAUGACAUUAAUGUUGUAUUCUAUAAAGUGUUGGACAUGUUUUAUACCCCUUUCUUGCAAAUUACAGUUUGCCACGUGUACAAAAAUAAUAGAUAAGUGUUGGACAUCAAGAGCACUUACAUAUAGGUUUAAUAGGUAAGUUUUGAAUAUUUCUGUAUUUAGCUUUAAAUAUUGAAAAUCAACCUAUUAGCAUAUUAAAGAUUUGUCCAUAUUCGACGUACAUUCUCUUAUUUUUCUCUCAUUGAAGUAAAUACAAAACUAAGCACAUAGUGGGAAAGUGCGUCACGAUUAGGGGUGGGUUUAGUCUAGGUUGGUUCAUUUUUGGGCUCAAUUUGAACACCGAACUGUAAGCUUCGGUUUGGCUAUUUUGGAAACCGAAACCAAACCAUAAUUGAUGAAAACCGACCACUUCGAUUACCUUCUGGUCUUCCAACCAGAAGAAAACUCAAAACUUUAACCAUACCAAGUGCAACAGAAUUACACCAGGCUGGAUUCAAGUUUAUGAUGGUUAAAGAUAAAAACUUAUUUGACAUACAAUUUGAGAAUGGAAUCCUCAAAAUUCCACACCUGCGAAUACGGGGUUUAACAGAAAUUUUCUUCCGCAAUCUUAUUGCCUAUGAGCAGUGUGAGCUUCAUGAUCAUUACAUCAACGACUAUGUCUUCAUCAUGGACCGCCUGGUCGACAGUGCCAGGGAUGUGGAAUUGCUUGUGAAGAGUGGAAUUCUUGAAUCUAUGCUACCGGACAGCGAGGCAGCAGGGGAAUUUAUUAAUUCUCUUGACUUGGGGCCUAUUUUAGGCAAGCUUGAAACAAGACUAUUUCAGUUCACCAUGGGCUGGCCUGUCUAUUAUUGUAGCCGCUAUACUAGUUGUGCUCACAUUUAUUCAAACAGUGUGCUCCGUAAUGGCGCUGUAGGUUCUUCAUUUCCUCAAUUUCAUGUUUAGUGGUUGCAGAUUUGUUGCUCAUGUACGUGUUUAUCUAAAGUUAAAUAAGAGUGAUUGACUGGAUUGACUGUUAGUCUGUUAGUUUGUUUUUCUGGGGUUUUUCCCCCCUGUUCGUCAAAAAAAAAAAUAAAAGAGUGAUGGCUUGUGCCUAUGAAAAUUACUUAGGAGUAUGCUCCACAGAGCCAAAAUAAAUAAACUAGGGAAGUGGAGGUUCUUCUGUUUGUAUAUAAAUGAGCAAUUCAAACUCUCAGUGCCAAGGGAGUUACCCUUGAUACAUUUGUUAAAAAUUAUAUAUUUGGUCUUACAUCAAACAAAUAAUUUGAAGGGCUUUUUUGACAACUGCUGACAGCGUUUGGCAGAAAAGUUUAGAAGCGCUUCUACGCUUCUAGAUCAUAAAAGUGCUUUACCAAAAAGCACUUAGAUUUCUUAUGAAAAUUUCAACAUUUUUAUAAUAAAAGCGCUUGCUAGAAGCACUUAUAAGCAGAAGUGCUUCAUAGAGAAGCAGUCCCAAACGAGCUUGAUUUUCAAAUGUGCUGCUUAAGAAGAAAUUUAAUACGUUUUGAAAACAAAAAAAAAUACGAAAUUUAAUACGUUUGUUUUACAAAUUGUAUUAAUUGUUAUCAAUAAUACUUGUGCACACCCACAACAUACUUCUUUCUUUCUUUAUUUUCCUUCAGUACAGUUCUGCCUUUCUUUAAUUAUUUUUAACGAAUGCAAAGAGUUUGUCACAAAAUCAAGGAUUGAAAAAAAAAGAGAGUAAAUUAUGUGCUAGAGAAACUUUCCUGCAGAAAUUGAAGAACAACUCUAGUUUCUCUCUUUCGCCUUGUACUCCCGCACUGAGGUUAGUAUUGUUAUAAUGUGCAGAUUAUACGGUCACUCUUGUAUAAUGGCGAGAAGGCUCUAAUUAUAUUUUUGAACCUCUUUGACAGGACCCGCCCCGAAUUUCCCGAAACCCAAGACGAAUUCUGUGGAAAUUCCCUACAUCACCCCGAUGUUGGGCCCACUUCUAAAACUAUAUCAUUUUUCCUAAAAAGGAAUAAGGGCACGAGACUUUCUACCGAAAUUUCGGCAGAGUCUCUCCUGUAAAUUGAACAUUUCCCAAAAUUUCAACCUGCAUAAAACACAUUUUAUAUUACCCAACUGGCAGCAUGCACAAAAUAAUAACAUGCAAUUCACAUAAACGGCCUCUGGCCCUCCGGUAAUUCAGAGCAAUGCAAACUAGCAACUCUAAACCUAAUAAAACAACAUAAGUAACAUUUAGCCAGCGGCUGCACCCAGGCACUACCCUAGGCUACCUACGUACCCUUACUAAGGGAUCAAGCCACACGUAGUUCUUUCAUACAAAAUUUCCAAAUCCAUCAACAUGCAAUCAAUUACAGAAUCCCAAACAAAAUCUUUCUCAAACAUCAUUAGUUCCCAACUCAGUAUAAUAAUCCUUAAUUCAUCUCUGUAAUAAUCACAAUAUCUCCCCAUACGCCGGAACUACCAACACCACGUAUGGAGCCUGCCUGUACGCCAGAUAACCAACGACACGUGGGACCUCAUCAUCAUAUCACAUAAUCUCCCCAUACGCCGAAACUACCAACACCACGUAUGGGGUCUGUCAACACGCCGGAUAACCUACGACGUGUGACCUCAACAUCAAAUCACAAUAUCUCCCCAUACACCGGAACUACCUACGCCACGUAUGGGGUCUGUCCACAUGCCGGAUAACCUACGACACGUGGGACCUCAUCAUCAUAUCACAUAAUAUAUUAACGAUCAAGAAAUAUCACUACGGUCAUUUAAUCCUCCUGGGAAGGUAAAACUAUCUCAGGAGACUCACGGUCAACCAAGGGUCAAACUACCUCAUACUUGGACAAACGAGCCCACGGAGCCCACAACCUCCGUUUUACUAUCCAAGAGUUCCUAUAGGUUCUACAAGGUUUAGGAUACACGGCUUGCAAGUUUGGUCAAGAUCAGACGGUCGGAUCGCUCACGAUAGGACGGUUACUGCAAACCUAGCCCUAGGGUUGGCAUUUUCGGAGUAUCCGAAACUCCGUUUUACGAUCUGUCGAAUCAUAGACGAUCCUAAGGAUUUGCAGACUAACUAUAAUAAAUUCAAGACCAUCCAACGGUCUAAACCUAUCGAACCCGGAUAACGCGCAAUAGGCAAUAUCCAAAUUGAAAUCCGAGCACACCUACGCACUCGUGAGGACUAGGAGAUUACAUCGGGACAUAGUGCCCUUUUUCUACAGUGCCCAUGAGCCGCCGCACGCACCAGCAACGCGUGGGUGCCCAAAGCGAUUAUGCAUCGCCAAAAAAUCUCAAAACCACGGCUCAAGACUCCUACCCUAGGUAUAACACCCUAUUUGGAACCACUUUUGUUCUUGGACCUACCCCAAAAACUGAUCAGAAGUGGCCGGAAUGGCUGAAAUGUAAUUCAAAAAUCAAGCUACCAACGCUCAAAAUCGAUGCAAUCCUACCCAACCAUCAACUAGAUUAUGAAGAAUGGAUAAAUUUCCAUACCUUGAUCGCCAACAAUGGCGGCCGGAGGAGAGAGAUCUGAUCCGGCGAAGUUCGAGUGAAAACGGCCAAAAAUCAUCUUUUUCAGGCGGCUGGAGGGCGACCGAUGUCAGGGAAGGGCAGGGUCGUGACGCUAAGGCUGAGCCUGUCCUUUUGGCACCGGUCCCUUCCGCAGCCGUGUCCGGUGGCUGGAGUUUCGAAGAGAGAGAGAGAGAGAGAGAGAGAGAGAGAGAGAGAAAUCUGAUUUUUAUCAAACCUUUUUGCCAAAAUUACGGUUAUGCCACUGAGGGUAUUUUGAUAGUAUCUCUCUCGUUACAACUUCGAUUCGAGCCCACCACGUGUGUACGGACUCAUCUAACUGUGUUGUACGCAACGGUAUAGUCGAAAUUCCCAAAUUAUUUCCUUGUCAAAAAGUCAACUUUAAACAUUAUAAAAUAUUUUAGGGAAAAAAUGGUAUUUUCUCUCAAUAAAUUAGUAACUAAUUUAUUUAGGACUGGGUCAUUAUACUCUUUUUCGCUUCAAUGGAUGGGAAAAAAUUUUAUGUAAUAUCCCACAUCGACCAACGAAGAGGGGGCGAUGUGUCUUAUAUGUACAUGCCCGCCUCCAUCUAGCAUAAGGCCUUUUGGAAGCUCACUGGCUUCAGAGUCAUGGGAACUCCGAAGUUAAGCGAGUUGGGGGCUAGAGCAAUCCCAGGAUGAGUAACCCACUGGGAAGUUGCUCGUGAGCUUCGAGAAACAAAACCGUGAGGGCAGAGAGAGGGGCCCAAAGCGGACAAUAAGGCCUCGUGCUAGAUGGAGGCGGGCAUGUACAUAUAAGGCACAUCACUCUCUCUCCGUUGGUCGAUGUGGAAUGUUAGAAUGGAAUUGUUACCUUUGGUGUGGAGGUGUUCUAUCAUUUGAGCAAGAAAUUCCCACAUAUUCUUCAACUAUUUUUCAAGCAUGCAUAUUCCUCCCUAUCAAUCUUUGGUUUCUUCCUUUACUGUGCAUAGUAAGGAUCCAGUCAGGGACGGACCGUCGCUAUGACUAUCCUGGGCUAUAGCCCAGGCAAAUUAUUUUUUUUUCUAGUCUAAAAUAGCAAUCCCACCGCUUGCUGUAGUACUUGUUCAGUUCGUCACAAACAUGAGCAUAAUAGAAGUUAUCAACAUCUAUAUAGGAACCCCAAUGAAAAGGCUGUUAACUAAUAAUGAAGUUAACCCGUCAAUUUUUCCGCAUAUCAGAUAUCUCUCAGAAUAUGCGAUUCCAUAUUCAAUAAGCCACUCCACAUGCCCUGAGGUUUUCAUCAAACCACCCAUUAAGGAAACAUACUGACUCAUGUAAUUAUCAUUACUCAUCGGGUAAUGCAAUUGUUCAAAGGCAAGGACAUUUCUCAUUAUUUAUGUAGCGAACCCCAAUGGAAAUGGUGGGAUCUUCAGAACCCCAUCGGUGCUACUGAAUUGUAUGUCAAAUAUGUUUUCACCUUGUCACGCCUCAAACUUGACUCCAGCGUGCUGUAAUUCUGUCAAGCUGGGUAUGGAUGAUGGGAGUUUGAUGCAGGAGCAUAGGGGUGGAUCAAGAUAGAUAUUUACUAUUUAAUUAGUUAUUUCAUGAUAUAUUGUUAUUUUCUUAUUUAGGUAGUUUUAUGAUAUCUUUUAUUAUUUAUGUGUGAUUUUAUAAUUAAUUAGUAUACUUUUGGACCAAGUAGCCUUGGUGCUCAAGUCUUGUAAAGCCUAUAAAUAAGGCUAAUGUAAUAGUUGUAGAAUAGAUGUCGAUGAUUAAUAAAAUCGUUUAUUUGUGGCAUGGAUUUGCUACGAUAUAUGUGAGUUUGCACUAGCCCUAGAUUUCAGUGCUCGUGUAUGUGGUUGGUGACCUGUGUCCGGAUCCCGAUCCCCAUCAAUUGGUAUCAGAGCUAUGGCUCAAGAUCUGCUAUAUCGGGGAGGUUUUUGGAUGGAGGGUCGUUUUAACAACUACAACGACAUGGAGGAAAUUAGGAGGAUGCUACGGCAACUUAUGGAACACAUUGCUCGCAUUGAAGCUCGAACCCAGAUAGGUAAGAGUUCUGACGGGGAGGGAUGUGUGAACCCUUAUCUGAACCGAGUAGCUCGCAUCGACACUCUAAGCCGUGAGAGUCUCGACGGGGAGUACGAGGGAGAUAGCCCUUUUCAUUAUUGUGCUCCGCUGUGUGAGUCAAGUGAAGAGGGGCACGGUUAUUCUCAUUGUGUCUUUGAAGGUAUAAAUGAAUUUAGUAAUUUUGGUGCAUCUUGUUAUUCAUCAAAGUUAUUAAAUUUGGAUUUACCUCCAUUAUUUGAUCCUUGCAAUUGUGAAAAUUGCAAUAAAAAUUGUUUGGGUGUUCAAAGCAAUUUUGAUAAGCAAUUUAUUGACCAGAACAGUGAAGAGAUGAGAAUUGAGAAAACUUUCGAAGAUAUUAUUGAUUUUAUGGGCAUUAAUAUUUUCACUUGGAAGGUUGCCAAAAAUCUGGUUGAUUUUGUCAAUCGGUUGAAGAUUCUAGAGAGAAACAUUUGCAUUGCUAGAGGGAGUAAGAAGUCAAGAAUAACGAAAUAUUCCAAAUAUCUUUUUAUUUGGAAAGGAAGGUUUCAAUUGGAUGCUAAAAGAUCCAAAAUUAAUAUGCAGCAAUUGAAGAUUCUACUCGGAUUUUCCUUAAUCAAAGGCUUGAAUUCGAGGACGAAUUCUUUCCAACUAUGGGAGUCUGAUGCAGGAGCAUAGGGGUGGAUCAAGAUAGAUAUUUACUAUUUAAUUUGUUAUUUCAUGAUAUAUUGUUAUUUUCUUAUUUAGGUAGUUUUAUGAUAUCUUUUAUUAUUUAUGUGUGAUUUUAUAAUUAAUUAGUUUACUUUUGGACCAAGUAGCCUUGGUGCUCAAGUCUUGUAAAGCCUAUAAAUAAGGCUAAUGUAAUAGUUGUAGAAUAGAUGUCGAUGAUUAAUAAAAUCGUUUAUUUGUGGCAUGGAUUUGCUACAAUAUAUGUGAGUUUGCACUAACCCUUGAUUUCGGUGCUCGUGUAUGUGGUUGGUGACCUGUGUCCGGAUCCCGAUCCCCAUCAGAGUUCCCCUCCAGCUUUUGAUUCCAACGGUUGAUAGAGUUUAAAUAUUUUCCUGAAAAGAUCAAUAAUAUGUGCCACUGAUCUAAAAGUCUCCAAAUUGUCUUCCAAUUUGUCAACAGGCAAUAGAUGUUCGAAGAAACUGAAAGAAAUACAAAUUAUUGAAAGCCCCUCAGUAAUGCUGUUAUUGUCAGCAUUAGCAGGGAGUGUAAUUUUCUGUGGGUCGAAAAGAUCCUCGAGAAUGAAGAAUGGCAACUGAUUUUCAAGCAACCACGUAUCUGUCCAUGCAUCUUGCAACAUACCUGGUUUGUCAAAUAUGCGGUCAUUUUCGUCCCAAAAUUUGAAGUAGUCCUUCAAUAAGGGCUCAAUAACGAAGGCGGCGCCCACUAGAAUGAUUGUUACAAAUUCAUCACUGCUAAACUUGAUGGGUUCUCCAUAACAACGUCUCAAUCUUGCUUCGUGGUCCUUUAUUUUCUUAAUAUAAUCCUCCAAACUCACAUUGGUCCGACCUAUAAAAUCUUGCAGGUAUCUCUGUUUGUUCUCUUCCAAUACGACAUUCAAGCCUUCCUUUCCAUGGUGAAGUGGACCUAUAGAGACCGACUGCCUGAGGUGUGCAGAGCUUUUCAUUCACACAUACGUAGAUAAAAUGUCUGGGGGCUCAGAGAGUGAUGAAUGUGCAACAGCUAAUGGGAGGGUUUAUAUUCCUGAAGUAAGAAAUGAGGAAACACCAGCAGUUGGGAUGAAGUUUGACUCGCUUGACCUCGUUUACAAUUUCUAUAAUAGAUAUGCAUUCUUGGCUGGCUUUGGUAUUCGACUUCAUUCUAGCUUUUGGGGGAAAAAUAAGAAAGAGAUUUUGAGGAAAGAAUUUGUAUGUUGCAAACAAGGUGCAUACAAGAAGGAUGAAACUCGGGAGAGAAAAAGACAACGGGGAAUAAGUAGAUGCAAUUGCAAAGCAAAGAUUGUGGUUGUGAAGACAAAUGGGAGCAAGAAGUAUACCAUUUCUCUUUUUGCAGAGGGACACAAUCAUAAGAUGACACCCUCAGAAAGAAUGCAUUUAUUGAGAUCACACCGUCAUAUUUCAGAUUCUACAAAAGUACUCACAAAACAGUUGGGUUCAGUUAAUAUUCCCAUUCAUCAGAAGGUAAGUAUAUUCGAGGUGCAAUCCGGAGGAAUGGAUAAAAUCGGUUUUAUCAAAAAAGAUAUCUACAAUCUUGAAUGUAGUGUGAAUGGGAAGCUGAGGAACCACGAUGUUGAACUAGUGACCGAGUAUUUUAUGGCUGAACAGAAAAAAAAUGAGGCUUUUUAUUUCAAGAUUGAGGGAGAUGGGCAUGACAGGUUUAGUCGAUGUUUUUGGGCAGAUGCAACUUCUAGACGGGCGUAUGGGUUUUAUGGAGAUGUUGUUGUAUUCGAUACCACAUUCAACACGAAUCGAUACGACUUGACAUUUGCACCAAUGUUGGGAGUUAAUAACCAUGGUCAGACAAUUGUCUUAGCAUGCGCAUUUUUGAGCAAGGAAACGACUGAGUCGUUUGUUUGGAUGUUUGAGGAGUUUAAGAAAGCCAUGCCAGGUGGGGAACCUAAAACGAUCAUUACAGAUCAAGAUGCGGCAAUGGCCAUAGCGAUUUCAAUAGCCUUCCCGAGUACAUUUCAUCGACUUUGCAUAUGGCACAUCACAUCAAAGUUCUCUGUUAAGUUACCACGUGACGCUUAUAAGGAGUAUUGGCCUGAAUUUCAGAAAGCCAUAUGGGAUACUGACAAUAAGGAUGAGUUUGAUGCAAAAUGGAAUAUUGUGGUUAUAAAGGCUGGUUUGACUGACCAUCCAUGGCUAAGUUCAAUGUUUGAUUUAAGGGAAUCUUGGGUUCCAGCCUACGCACGACAAUUUUUUGCCGCUGGAAUGUCAAGCAGCCAAAGAGCGGAAGGUUCUCAUGGUUUUUUCAAGCAAUACAUAUCAAGGAGAAAUUCGUUGAUGGAUUUCAUAAUACGAUUUGAGAGGGCAUUUUCUCAUCAACGUGAAAAAGAGUUAGUUGCUGAUCACGUAGAUGCAUUUGAAGUGGCUCAAUGUCUUCUACCGAUGCCAAUGAACAAACAAAUGGCUACCUUGUACACAAGGACAAUGUUUCAAAAGUUUGAGCAAGAACUAAUACAAAGUACAGCAUGUUUCCUAGAGCUCAAAACAGAGGAUGCAUGUAAAGUUGUGUUCAACGUGAGCGAAAGGAAAAAUUGGGAAACAAGAGUGGCAGAAGUCGUAUAUGUCAAAGAUUCUGACCACGCAUCGUGUAGCUGCAAAAGAUUUGAAUUUGUUGGAAUUAUUUGCAAGCACAUCCUAGCAUUGUUCAGAAGGGACCAGAUUGAAUAUAUGCCCGAUAAAUAUAUUUUGAAGAGGUGGAAGAAAACUGCGAAAUGUGGAUUGGUGUCAGAUGCAAAUGGCAACGAAAUUAAAGACUGUGCAGAUCCUGGCCUUCUAAUAAAGCGGAGUACAAUGUCUCGACUUGCUUCAAAUGUGGUUGAGGAUGCAUUAAUGAGUGAAGAAGGAUGUGAGCUACUGUCAGAGACUCUAAAAAGUUUGCAGGUGAAGUUGAAGUUGCUGAAGGAUGGACCAAGUAAUAACGAAGUUGGAGGGUCCAGCUCUCAAACACAAUAUAUGAAAGACCCUAAGAGAGUGAGGUGCAAAGGAAGGUCGAAAGGAAUAACGGGAGCAAAGGAAAAGGCAAUGAAGCGAGGGAUUAGACACUGUCGGGAGUGUGGACACAUUGGUCAUGAUAGAAGACAAUGCCCAGCCUUGAACACACCGUAAGAUGCUACCACUAUUUGUAAUAAUAUCUAAAAUAUGAAAAGGUAAAAUUUUUAUGUGCUUGUGUUUGAUGUUUAUGCAGGACAUCACCGUCGAACAAUGACAAAUCAACUCCAAUACAUCGUAGUGACCCAUUAUUCGACGAUUUUGACAAGAUGCACAGACCAACUGAAUGAUUGAUAUUUGUAUUAGACGAAAUGUGGUUGUUAUGAAGAUUAAUGAUCAAGUGAAGUUUUAUAGAUUCAGUUUUUGAAUGUUAUUGUGUUUUUGUUCAUGUCCACCGAUGAGCUCUUACUAUGUCCACUGGUAAUUGAAAUGAAAAUUUUCUUGGUUUCAUUCUUCCAAGACAUUUGGAGACAUGUUAAUUUUACGUCUUCUCCCUAUUUAUAAAUUUUCAUAGACAUUUGAUCAAGUUUGAAAUUUGUAGUUAUGUGAAGAAGCAAUGACUCUUACCAUGUAAAAUGGGCAGUUUAGGGUGAAAUUUGUUUUAACAGAGAUUCAUUUUUCAAUUCCUCAGGGUAAUGCAGCAAUUACAGCAGCCAGCUGUUGUUUCCAUUACCAGUAAUCAUUUCCAGCAGCAGCCACUUUUUCCGACUGGUUAUUAGGGGCACGAUUUUGUACACUUUUGUAAGUGAAGGAUACUCGAAGCACUUUGUUGGAACAGAGCAAAUAGAAACCAGCGGGUAAAAAAAAAACAUAACAUUGCAGCUAAUUACAUUUCGAUACAUAGGUGAAAAAUAUUAAAGGGUACACUAACUUACAUAAAUACUCAUAAUUCCACACACAAAAGAACAUUUGAUUGCAAAACAUAUUAUGUGCUUCCUCAUAGCAAUACCACGAUCUCCCCAACCAACUGAACAACGGUAGCCACAAUCACUGGGUCGUACUCGUCAGCUUCUUCUUAGCAGGUCUCACAUGCUUAUGGCCACUCAUAUCCCUAGUGAUAUACACGAAAUAAAUCUUCAGCAAUAUUUGGAAUUUUAUUAUAUAUAAAUAAACCAUAAACCAUUCAGUAAACAAUGUAUAGCACAUGUUAUGUAACUUAUGACUCACGUGUCAGUUUUUUUUUUAACACAUUAGUACUCCAGCUCUUUAAUGUAAAUGGACAUGAUAAGGAGCAUUUACUGAUUCCCGGCUUUCUAUGAUAUUGACUGCUUCUUGAAUAAUAUUUCCAUAUUUGCAAAAUAUAAUGUUAGACAUUAUAACACAUGAUGACUUGCAAUACAUAGUCCCAAUAAUUAUAUAUCAAGCAAAUGAAACUGAUAUUUGUGUUAUUUUAAGUUAGAUAAUGACAUUAAGGGAGUAUAUGUGCAAUACCACGGUCACCCUCAACCAACUGAACAGCGGUAGCCGCAAUCACUUAGUCGUAUCGGUCGGCUUCUUCCGAGCAGCUUUGACGUGCUUAUGCUCAUUCAUGUCACCCCCAUCGUCUAGUAUCUCUCUCACAGCAUCAGGGGACACAUAGUUCCAAUCAUAACUUGUAUGAGUAGUUGCCGCAAAUGCUCGGAAUUUGUCGAAUCCUUCGUUGAAUGCCAACUCCAGUUCAGUAUGGUGCUCUUCGCAUCGCAUAUGGUUCAUCAAACAACCUUUGAUUUCAUCAUUCAUUACUGUAUCCAACUCCUCAGCUUUCAGCUUCCUGCUAUGACUCAGCUUCAAGUACUUGUUCUUUUGGGAUAACGCUUUGUUCACCCUAAUGUUAAGAUCAGCCAAAAUUGCCUCGUCUUCAACACAUUUCUCGUGCCAUGAAUUGAUCAGUCUGGAAUUAUAAUCCAGCUUGCCACUGACUGCAUGUAUUGCCUGUAAUGGAUCAUCGGAGUCCCCCUCACUCCCAAAUGAUGUUGAAAAAGGAAGGGGUCGGCGAGUACAAUGUGGAAAUAGAACCUGCCACUCCAAUUUGUCAUCUUCGAUUGUGUUGUUGGCGCCUGAAGAGGUUGACAUGCUUGAAUAAUCCUCUUUGUUUUGGGAGGAUGAGGAUUGCAUAUGCAAUUUCGUUUGAGAAAGGGAACAUAGGUUUAUAGACCAACAUACCAAAGCUUGUGUGUAGUCAACAUAUGUACUUUUUGGCGGGAAUUUUUUAAAAAUAGGUGUUAGGUUUUGCUUUUCAAGCAUGUCAACCUCACACUCUCCUGACACCACUGCUAGUGGUUGAAACAAAGUCAAUGGAAGUGACAUCUACUUAGUUAACUCAACCAAACUAGUUAGGAUUAAACUUAGAUUGUAUCAGACCAAAAAAUAAUUUCUACUUUGUCAACCAAAUAUUUUUUGGCGGGAACCCUUUUCUUGGUAUUACUAUCACCCCUUUCAUAUAAAAUCUCCUUCCACACAAAACUCACUCCUCCACCGAAUCUGUCUCCAUCUACCGAUACUCUCUCAAGCAAACAAACUCAUUCCCCCCAAAGAAUGAGCAUAAGCACAACCAAGUUUGAUGUGAGCAUAAUAAACACCCCUCCAAACAAAGACCGGCUUCGACACGCAAGUGAGUCACCGGACAAGCAAUGUCACAUUGCUAGACAGAAUGACCAUUUUGUUGGAAGUUUUGAGUCUGAAAGAGUUGUUGCUUUUUGGAAGGAGAGGCAUCUUCAACUUGGUGAUGAAAUCCAAAGGGCAAGGGCACGUUUGGAAUUUGUGGAAGGCCAAAUUGAAGAUGACAAAAGGCAGGCCAAUCUGGAUAGGGCGAAGUUGUAGCGCAUGAAGCGUAGACACAAACGACUUCGGAGUGUAGCUGUUCAAAAAUACAAGAACUCAUCUAAUGUAGUGGAGUCAAAGAAGCGUGUGAUGCAAGCUGGAUUCGACUACUUCCGAUCCUAUGCAAAACUCGUCGUACCCGGGUUUGAUUGGUCAUCUAUUACCGUUUCCGACGUCACCAAAUAUACUCAGCAAGGGAAGUAACCAUUUUGGUUCUCGUGUUUUAGCAGAGGCAAAUAAGUGGAAUUGGAAUUUUGGUUACACUCUGCUUCAAAGCUAUUUUGAUGCUAACUACUAUGGAAGAUUUAAACCUUAAUAUUUUGAUGUCUUUAAUUACGAAAACAGAAGAUGCAAAGAGCUCAUCUACUUCAGCCAUAUGUUGCUGCCAUGUCCAUUUGUUUUUGAUCACUUAUCAGAUUUGGACAUGGUUGCAUCAUAUGCAAUGUUGCCUUUAUUUAUUAUAUGUUAGGACAAGGUUUAUGGAAAAGCUUUUGUGAGUGCGUUUGUGACAAGGUUAUGGAAUUAUUAUGUACACUUUAUAUAUUGUUUUUUGUACUGGUUCAUUUCCUACUAUUUCUUGCUUUCUUUAUAUUUUAUGUUUGUGGAAUCCCUCUCAAAGUUAACAUAUACUGUGAAAAAAAUAUUAUGCAACUGAUUAUAUAAUCACUCAUAUAGACUAGGACAAAUAUUCACUAAGGGUUUUAAACUUGCUUCACUUGUGUGAUGUUAUUGACAAAAAGUAUGGCAUUAUUUAUGUGAUUUGACAUGAUUGAAAAUAUAUUACUGAUUCCCAAUGCGGCGUCAUAUGGACAACGUAUUGAAUACCUGUGACGUGUUAAUAACUCAAGGUGCAGUUGCAUGUGGACAACUUCUUGAAUACCUCUGACGUGUUGAAAACUCUAGGUGCAGUUGCAUGUGGACAACUUAUUGAAUACGAACUGACGUCUUCAAAGCUCUAGGCGUAGUUGCAAUGAUGGCUUCAAAGCAUGUGCAAUUAUUUUUUAUGUACAUUAUUAUAACAAAACAUAUUAUUGUAUAUAGUGAAACUAAAUAUUGUAUUAUUAGAAAUUAUAUUUCGAAUAUUAUCCGAAAUAUACGUGUUAACGUGAAUUUGGGUUAAGAGGAAAGUGAGUUAUGUACAAAUAAUUUUCAUUUUCUCAUUUUCCGGGCAUUUUUUGGAUUUUCGUAGAAUUUAUUACCUAUGUCCACAGAUUGUUGCACUAAAAAAGCCAAAAUAAUAGCAAGAGGACACCUGGAGCGAUCUCAGCCCGUCACUGAUGACUACUUGCACAAGUGUACGUCAGUCAACAUGGCCACACCCUCCCAUUUUACCCUAAAUUAUUAUUUUAUUACUUUUCCUUACAAAAAUCAGAACUAAUUACACACAAAAUAAAAAAAUUAUCCGAAAAUUGCUACGAACUCAUUGACACUCCAUCUCCGUUGCUGAAUUCUCCGAUUCAUUGUUACGUAUUUGUAAAAUUAAUUCCCAACAUUAACGGGAGAUGCUUGUUGAAGUAGGUUAUUCAAGUUGAAGUUAACAAACAUCAAUACUUAGGGUUAAGAGGAAAGUGAGUUAUGUAACACAAUUUGGAUUAUUUCAUUGCGAGACGAAUGAUUUAUAGGUUCUCCUAGUUUUAUGACGUCACAAGUAGGCCGGAGUAAUUUUUGGGGCAUUUUUACGAUUUUCCUACUAUUUUUUACCUAGUUUCAAAGAUUUUUGAACAAAAGAAUCCAAAAUGUAAAAGAAGAUGACACCUGGCGCGAUCUCAGCCCGUCACUUUUCACUACUUGCACAAGUGUACGUCAGUCAACAUGGCCACAUCCUCUCAUUUUACCCUAAAUUAUUAUUUUAUUACGUUUUGUCUUGGAAAAUUCAUAACUAAAUACACAAAAAUUCAAAAUUAUUUCUGAAAAUUGCUACGAACUCAUUGACACUCCAUCUCCGUUGCUGAAUUCUCCGAUUCAUUGUUACGCAUUUUUAAAAUUAAUUCCCAACAUUAACGGGAGAUGCUUGUUGAAGUAGGUUAUUCAAGUUGAAGUUAACAAACAUCAAUACUUAGGGUUAAGAGGAAAGUGAGUUAUGUAACACAAUUUGGAUUAUUUCAUUGUGAGACGAAUGAUUUAUAGGUUCUCCUAGUUUUAUGACGUCACAAGUAGGCCGGAGUAAUUUUUGGGCCAUUUUUACGAUUUUCCUACUAUUUAUUACCUAGUUUCAAAGAUUUUUGAACAAAAGAAUCCAAAAUUAACAAGAAUAUGACACCUGGCGCGAUCUCAGCCAGUCACUUUUGACUACUUGCACAAGUGUACGUUACCGAACAUGGCCACAUCCUCCCAUUUUACCCUAAAUUAUUAUUUUAUUACCUUUUUUCUUGGAAAAUUCAUAACUAAAUACACAAAAAUUAGAAAAACGAUCCGAAAAUUUCUACGAACUUAUUGCGAUUUCAUCUUCCUACUGCAUUCCCUGUUUAAUGGUUAUGCUACAUUAGUAUUUUAUUAUUAUUUAUCCACAAUUAUUAUAAUUAUUAUGAUAUUACUUUUUAGGCUGUCCAUUUGUUAAUUAUACCACAUCCAACUUGUUGAAAACAAUUUUAUUUUCCGUGCGAAUAGGCCAUUUGUAGUGCUUAUCGGUUUCUCUGUUCUUCAAUUUGUUAAUUUUUUUAUUUUUUAGGUUGAAGGGAUGUUUUGAAACAUAAUAUGGAAAUAUACAAGUCAUCCAUUGUACUCCUUCCACACAAAAAAAUAGUCUACGUCAUUCACUGUUCAACACCCUAGGUUAAGACACGUGUAACCAAAUCCGUUCGGAUAUGCUAAGUGGGAAAAUGUCAUUCCCAAGCACUGGUGAAAAGACACUUAUUUACUCCAUGCAUGACUUUUGGUUUACCAAAUAUGAAGAUUGGGGUCGGUGAGCAAAAUAUCUGUGUCAGUAAAAUGUCAUUCCUAGCCAUCUAUGAUGUAAGUAAUAAUUCCGCUAUAUAAUAAAUAUUAUACAUUUAUAUAUAAAACGGUUUAUGACAAAAUACCAACAUUUGAACAACAUUUAAACUGAGAUAGGUAUAACGUAGCCAGCCAACCUAGAAGUGAAGAGAAGCAAGUCCACAAUGCAUCAAAACUGUAAAUUCGUACUAAAACUAAUGCAAAAAUACGUGAUUCCCUCGCACAACUUACUCACGCAGGAUUUUGCACCAAAAAAUACUCUCACGGUGCCAUUUGCAUCGGUUGCAGCAAGUCCAAAACGCAGGAUUUAUCUUGUCUUCACUAGGCCACCCUGGAAUAACAAAAUACCAUUCAUUGUUGUUACAAGCGCUGCACCGAUUGAACUUAAUCUUCCCAUAGUCAAACAUAUCUACGAUAUGUCUUGCAACAAAUGCUCCGCGACAUCUUCCUGUUAAAGCAUCCCUGGUUCCUUUCAUAUCAAUGUUGUUACGUUGAUUCAAAGAACACAAGAAUUGUAAUGCAUCCUCUUUUGACUGACCAAUUCCGGACAUACCAAGUAGUCCAACUACAUAUGCCGCUUCCAUAUGGCCUGCCGUGGCUGCAAUGCGCAUCCCAUACAACGCUUCCACCUUACCGUCUGUGAAAAAACCUUCGAAUGCUUCUCUAAAUAUGGACUCAGGGUUAUCGCAAGCCCUGCAUUGUUGCAAGAAAUGCUGGACUGCAGGUUUGGCACGGUAGCAGAUAGGAUGGUGUGGGUACUUUGCCAUUGAAAUGGUGUUCCACACUUGUGGACUGUUUGCCAAAAUGUUGAACAAUCGGCACACACAUGCCAUACGGAAGAGAUCUUCCGAUGAUUCGGUUGCCACGUAUAACAUCACUUGAAACCAAGCGGACUCCGGGAUAAAGGCUUCGGGCAUAUCGAAAUGGAGAUGCUUCCUUCUCUUUCCUCCGACUGUAGUGAAGUGUUUCGAAUUCAUUGAAAAGUUUUUGGAAUGGAACGAUUUGAGGAGUGGCAGAGGGGAUAAAUGAUAAUAUUUGGGGUACACGUUCUACUUCCGAGCCUCUGUUUAUAGUGUUUUGAAAAGGUGUUUCCAGUUGGGGUUUUUCCAAGUUGACCCUUUUGAAAGAAACUGAAUCCAAGUGAAUUAAAACUUAAGACAAAAGAAGGGAAAACGUCAUAACGGUGCAUACAGAGUCAGACAGUUAAAAAGUUAAUUAAAUGGCUAUUUGCAUAGCCAUUUUUGGGUUUAUCCCACUAUCAAAUUCAUUGAUACAAAUGUGAUGGAUUACUGACUAGUGACAGAAGGUCCCAUCAUAUACUUUUUCAUUUUCGCACACCCAACUAUCCCUAGUAAUGUUAUUAAAAUGGAACCAAUAAUGACGGAUUCUUAUCCAACUAGUUGCCUUAAUGAAAUAUAAAUAAAUUAAUAAAAUUGAAGCAGUGUCCCGUCAUUAGUCAGAAAAUAUAUUUGGUAGUGAAGUAGUUUCUAUUGCUUUUCGGGCUAAAAGAUGUCACAAUGCUGACGGUACAGGUGUCGACAUCGUGACCAACCCACCAAAUGAUCCCAAAAAAAAGUAAUAUAACUCGAUUUGGGCAGAGAUGAGAGAGAGCUGAGUGACAAGUUUAGGGUUAUGAGUGAAGGGGUAUGAAUGACAACUAUGAGUGAGAAGGUAUGAGUCCGAAGAGGUUUCAGUGAGAAGAUUUGAGUGAGAAGAGGUACAACUGAGAAGAUUCAACAUGUCUUCGUCUUCAUCUCCUGCUCAAACAAAGAGGUGUCAGUAUUGUGGAGCUACAAUGGUGCUUCGGGUUUCAAAAUCUGAAAAAAAAUCGAGGGAAGCCAUUCUGGAAGUGUCUAACCUCCUAUGUAAGUUUUAAUUUAAAGAAUAUGUAUGUGGGUGAAAAAAAACCUAUGUCUAACUCUGACAGAAUUAUAUUCCAUAUAUGAUGCCUGCAAUUAGGGAGCCACCAGUUGCAAUGGAUUCGAAUGGGUUGAUGUAACCUCCGCUGAAGCAGAACAUCAAGAUGACACGUAUGAUGUUAGAGUGCUGAACAUGCUGAAGUCCAUUAAGGACUUGGUAUUAGUUUUAUUAGUUGUAUUAAUUGUCAUUUUAUUUGUUCUUUUAAUGAUCAUUUAACUGCACGGUUUAAAAGAUUGUGAAAGUUCUCUCGCACAAGACAUAUUGCACGCACCACCAAUGAGACCCUAAACCCAUUUUGUAAUAUUUGGUAACUGCAUGUAUUUCGCAUGUUAUUGAAUGUUUAUUGAAGGUUUAUUGAUAGUUUGCUGCAUGUAUAUGGAAUAUCAUUGCCCCAAAAUUGGAUGUUUAUUGGGGCCACAAGUAUCACUCAAGUAAGAAUGAAGGGGAGAAACGGACCUUAUUCUUUCUUAUAGUAGGAAGAACAACUGUUAAGUUUAAUAUCCUAUUCAAUACGACUUCCCUAUGGUUGGUGUACUUGGGGACUGAAGUAUAUUGCAUCAUUAUUGUGGGCAAGGGCAUGUCUAUUGUGUGUGUUAAGGGAGUAUUGUGUGGGCAAGGGCAUGUCUACUGUGUGUAUAUUGCAUGUCUACUGUGUGUAUAUUGCAUAUCUAUUCUCUGUAUAUGGCAGGCCAAGUUUGUGUAUAUUGUUUGUCUGUUGUGUGUGUAUUGCUUGUCGGUGCGUUUGUGAAUUGUGGUUCAUUUUGUGUAUAUUGUCUUUGUUUCUACUUUUAUGCUACUGAGCUGCGGAAAACCUCGCAUGUUUAGACACCUAUUAUGAUGCAACACAUUGCGAUUAAUGGUGGCUUGCAUCAACAAUGACAUAUCACUUUGCAAUGAUGUAAUACACUUAAAAAGCCGUCUUCAAAUCCCAAUUCACAUAUGCAGUCUUAAAAUUCUAAUUCAAUGCAGUUUGGUUAACAAACAUGUAAAUGUCAUGAAGGAGUUAGCGGUAGAAUUCGAUAAGGACCCGUACGUCUCUAUUGUGUAUUUACAUUAGUUUGAGAAUGGACAUUCCCAAAACCUUCUCAUGUACCAUUUGUCAUCUUCAACCAAUAUCAUGGGAAGUAAGCAUCUCCCCUUGUUAUCUCCGCAGCCAAUUUCAACCGAAAAAAAGGCAUGUUGUGCGAGGUGCAAGUAGCUAACGGAAGCUUAGCGCUGAAAAGCUCAAUGUACUUUAACACAAACAUGCCACAAUCGCCUCUGAAGCAAAACAAGAACUCGAUCAAUUCAACUAAUGACAUUCUAAUGUAAUUGACAAUUGAAAGUAAUAAAAUUAAAUUGCAAGUUGUGCUUACUCAUUAGACUGUUGUGGAACAUCCACACGCUCUAUUGGCCACGGACACCACCAAUCUCGGCUGCAAUUGUUUGCAUAAACACCUUCUUCAUAAAAGUCGAUGGUGUUGAGAAGAUUUGGAAGCGUAAUUGAUAGCGGGCCGAGUUCUUCCUUUACGAUGUCAUCUGGAAUUAGUGAAACCUUUGAAUCGUACACUUUGAUUCACACAAUACCAGAUCAAACANNNNNNNNNNNNNNNNNNNNNNNNNNNNNNNNNNNNNNNNNNNNNNNNNNNNNNNNNNNNNNNNNNNNNNNNNNNNNNNNNNNNNNNNNNNNNNNNNNNNNNNNNNNNNNNNNNNNNNNNNNNNNNNNNNNNNNNNNNNNNNNNNNNNNNNNNNNNNNNNNNNNNNNNNNNNNNNNNNNNNNNNNNNNNNNNNNNNNNNNNNNNNNNNNNNNNNNNNNNNNNNNNNNNNNNNNNNNNNNNNNNNNNNNNNNNNNNNNNNNNNNNNNNNNNNNNNNNNNNNNNNNNNNNNNNNNNNNNNNNNNNNNNNNNNNNNNNNNNNNNNNNNNNNNNNNNNNNNNNNNNNNNNNNNNNNNNNNNNNNNNNNNNNNNNNNNNNNNNNNNNNNNNNNNNNNNNNNNNNNNNNNNNNNNNNNNNNNNNNNNNNNNNNNNNNNNNNNNNNNNNNNNNNNNNNNNNNNNNNNNNNNNNNNNNNNNNNNNNNNNNNNNNNNNNNNNNNNNNNNNNNNNNNNNNNNNNNNNNNNNNNNNNNNNNNNNNNNNNNNNNNNNNNNNNNNNNNNNNNNNNNNNNNNNNNNNNNNNNNNNNNNNNNNNNNNNNNNNNNNNNNNNNNNNNNNNNNNNNNNNNNNNNNNNNNNNNNNNNNNNNNNNNNNNNNNNNNNNNNNNNNNNNNNNNNNNNNNNNNNNNNNNNNNNNNNNNNNNNNNNNNNNNNNNNNNNNNNNNNNNNNNNNNNNNNNNNNNNNNNNNNNNNNNNNNNNNNNNNNNNNNNNNNNNNNNNNNNNNNNNNNNNNNNNNNNNNNNNNNNNNNNNNNNNNNNNNNNNNNNNNNNNNNNNNNNNNNNNNNNNNNNNNNNNNNNNNNNNNNNNNNNNNNNNNNNNNNNNNNNNNNNNNNNNNNNNNNNNNNNNNNNNNNNNNNNNNNNNNNNNNNNNNNNNNNNNNNNNNNNNNNNNNNNNNNNNNNNNNNNNNNNNNNNNNNNNNNNNNNNNNNNNNNNNNNNNNNNNNNNNNNNNNNNNNNNNNNNNNNNNNNNNNNNNNNNNNNNNNNNNNNNNNNNNNNNNNNNNNNNNNNNNNNNNNNNNNNNNNNNNNNNNNNNNNNNNNNNNNNNNNNNNNNNNNNNNNNNNNNNNNNNNNNNNNNNNNNNNNNNNNNNNNNNNNNNNNNNNNNNNNNNNNNNNNNNNNNNNNNNNNNNNNNNNNNNNNNNNUUUUCCUCUCCCUCAUCUCUAUUAUUUGGCCCUUCACCCCCUUCAAUCCCUUCAUCUUCUUUUUCCUCUCCCUCAUUUCUGUUACUUGGCCCUUCAUCCCAUUGAAUGUCAUCCAUUUCCCCAUAUCCCUUAAAUAGAUGUGAGACGACACAACGAUUCGUCCUCUGUUUCAGUAAAGCUAGGUCCCUCCUUACUUCCUGCUCAAACUGAGGACCUAAACAUUGGUCCAAUAGUUUUUCCAUCCGUAUGACCUUUAAGUGAAGGACGUCUUUUUCCCGCUUUUCUUGAAACAACUCGGACCUCAACAAGCUUACCACCUUGUUCAACUCAUCAAGAUCACCACAUGAAGAAGGAAUUGACUCUGCCGAGACAACAGCAGGGCGAUCCUGUGGCCAACUCCAAUAUGGCUGUCUCAUUUCCUCUUCACUUAGACAUAGCGCCCGCAACUGAACUGACUGUUUCAGAAUACAGACAAGAGUCAUAUUAAAUCAUUCUACUUCAUAAUUUCAUUCAAUCUUAUCAAUAGUUCUAAGGGCUGCAAACCAAACCUCUUUGCUCUGGAAAAAAUAAUUGUUCAACUUUCUCAUCUCUGGAACAGACGUAGUAGUUCUCCAUCGCAAAAUACGCGGGACAGCGGUCGGAUCAACAACCUUGCAGUAAUUCAGGUCCGCCAUUCUAGGAAUUAAUUCAUAUACCCAAAUCUACACAAUUCACAGGACAAAAGUCAUUAUUUAUGUUUUAAAGAAAAACAAAACAUAACUGACAUGAACAUUAUUACCAUGUACCUGGAAAGCAUACGUGAAACCUUUAAAACUCCAGCCACUCCUUUGCGCUUCACUAUGCUUAUCCUUCUUGCCCUUCUCAUUUCUCCGGCUUGUUCCCGUUACCUUACUUUUCCCCUUCCCUCUUCCCUCUUCAUUUUCCAAGCUUUUCACAUACUUUGUUGGUGCAGAAAAUAGACUGUCUUGGGUUUUGUCAAAGGACACCGAACCCCACGGAUACCUGUUGAACGCAUCCAAGUCCUCUACAAGGGUCAGGUAAUUUAGAUUGAUGUUCAAAUGUUUGUCCCUUCCCAAAACCACUAACUCAGCAAAGUAAACAAGAGGUAGCUUGAAGAUGUCAUCUUCCUCUGUGCACCUCACAAAUGCUUCUUCUAAAGCAUUGCAUGUAAUUCCUUCGUCUAUAAAAUAUCUUUUCUGAAGUCUGAUUUCAUUACUCUCUCCACUGGAAACUUCAGGCACUUCCCCAAAACGAAGCCCUGUGAUCAAACAGAAAUCCUGACGAGUGAACUGAGCAACGUCACACCCUAAUAAGAAACUCAGUCCAUCCAAGUCUUUCACACCCUGCCCCGCUACUCUACGCAACACAACCCCAUGCACAAUCUGUCCGCUAAACUGAAUCUUAUCUAUAUUCAGAAGAUGGCCAAAGCAUGAUGUCUUGAAUUGUUCUAAUUGUUCCGCACUCAACUUCGCUCGAAUUGCAGCUAGAGAUGAAUUUGCAUGUGAGCAGUUGUUCACCCGUGAUGAAUAUACCUCUGCCUCUGGCCAUACCAGCUCCACGUUGGAUCCCAUUUCCUCAAAUACAAUGUGAAAUAACGUGAACAUAUAUACUACCACGUAUUUGCACAAUCACAACUAGUCAACCAGGCACAUUACAACUUUUACAAAGUACAUGAGCAUAUGGAUUACUCAUCACAGGCUUUAACAUCAUCAAAGCAAUAUGACAAUUUUUGUGCAAAUACCUGUUAAUGCAAUGAUUAUGUGAAUUACAAACAAUUUCACGUGUUUUAUUUAUGGAUCCAUACUCGUGUGAGUGCAAUGUAGGCAAGUUCUGCACUUCACACACAUGACAAUUAUUGUCAUCUCAUACACAACCCAAAAUAAAUAAAUAAGAAAUAUAGUGGAAGGAAGCAAAGCAAAGCAUGUACUCUGCUAUCUGCUUGCUAAGCAAUUGCCACAUCCUUCUUUCUUUCUACCUUUUUCUUCAGUCACCCACAAUCGUCAUAGAUCAACCUUCAUUUCAAAUGCUUUGCACUUUUAUUCAUGAGUUUAUUAUUAUCUGUUCUCAUUUCUCAUAGGCAAAUUUAGUAACAAAUGAAAUAAUAUUUAUUUCACAAAAUAUAUAAAUUCUAGUGCCAGAGAGGUACUCUUCACUCUGCACUGCUUCAAAUGUGGAAGGUUUUGAGAUGUUAUUGACAUGUGAUUGACUUUAUUUUCAUUCGUUUUUUAACAUAUACCCAAGCAAAAAUUAACAUGCAAUUGAAGCACAAAUAAGAGAUGCCAAAUCCAACAACAUUGAUGGUACAAAUUGGGGAAAACCAUUACUCUAACCCUAAACUCAAAUUCCUUACAUUACUCAUCAAAUGCUUUGCAGUUCUAUUCAUGAGUUUAUUAUUAUCUGUUCAAAUGUUUCUCAGGCAAAUUUAGUAACAAAGGAAAUCAUAUUUACUUCAUAAAAUAUAUAUAUAUAUAUAUAUAUUCUAGCGCCUCUUCUUAAUCUGCACUAUGCACUGCUUCAAAUGUGGAAGGUUUUGAGGGCCUCCUCCAAUUCAACACCAUUAUCUUAUUCAUAUCAUUAUUGACAUGUUAUUCACUUGUUAUUGACUUCAUUUUCAUUCUUUUUUUAACAUAUACCUAAGCAAAAAUUAACAUGCAACUGAAGCACAACGAAGAGAUGCCAAAUCCAACAAAAUUUAUGGUACAAAUUGGGGAAAACCAUUACUCUAACCCUAAACUCAAAUUCCAUAAAUUACUCACCAAAUGCUGGUUAUUGCAAGGUGUCUGUGUGGGGUCUUUCUGUUUCUUUGCUCCACAAAUGGAACCUACCACUUCCAACGAAUACAGCUUUUCCCCUUCCCCUUCCACUGCUUCGCCUCUUCACUGAUUUGGAAUCCACACCUUUGCCCCUUCUACUCCAAAUAAAUACUUUCUCGGGGUCUGGAGAACGGAGUGGCGAAUCGUUGCCUUCAACUGUCGUUAGCCGUUGCCUUCAUUGGGUAUCUCAGACCUCUGUGUUUUAGAGAGAUGAGUUCUUUCUGUUCAAACUUCGAACUUGCCUCUUCUUCUUCUUUUUCGGACGUGUUUCCCUCUUCUUCUUCUUUUUGGACGUGCUGGAUAUUCAAUUCGGGUUUGGGUUCCUUACCUACCCAAUUGUGAAACUUUAACUCAAUUCUCCCCAGCCCUUGGAUUAAUCUGAUGGCUAUAAAGUGAACCCCUUAUAACUUACCCCUUAUAACUUUCCACUCAUUAUAGUCUUGGCCAGGUAUGGCGGCCAUGCUAGUAAGUGUUGGGUCUUUGACCCAACUUAAGCUAAAUGGGUCAUAAGAUGACCGAUCAUCUUAUCUCAUAAGGAUAUAUAAGUCAUGUUAUGAUUUAGGAUUUUAUAGGGUUUCCUUUGUAAGAGGUAAGAGAGAAACAAGCUCUCUCUCUCUCUACACAAGGAGGUCAGCCAUAGCAAGGGAAAGGCUCCUAGCACUCUCCUCUCUCUUAUUAUAUCAUCCUUCCAAGGACAGCUUUGGUAUGGUAAAGUUGGAGGUUGCACACUUUGUGCACUUUGGUAAGAACUCAUCCAAGGGAGCCAAGAUUAAAUUGGUUAGCUGUUGGAUUAAAUUGGUUAGCACGAUUCAACGGUUAAUAGAUAAAACUUCACAUAAAAGUCAUAUAUAAGGCCCUCACUAUAGAAUGACUCGUUAGUUUAGUCUCUUGUUACAUAUCAAAUGUUAGAGAUAUUUUUUAAUAAGGAUCUGCCAUACCACAUAGUUGGAUAAGACAUUAUACACGGCUUUUGUAAGAGCAUCUCCAGCGCUCCAAACUAGCCCAAGCAGCAGGGGGGCCUAAGUCUAGGAAGCAGCUCCAGCUCGCAAGAUUCAACCCAGGCAAGGUGUGGAACCCACGAGGAGAUCUAGCCCGUCACCUUGCCUUUGGGUUUCAGUCAAGCUGAUGUCAACGAAAGAAUUUCAAAUUUUUUUUACCGUUACAAUGUACGCGCCAACGAUAAAUUUUCUUUGGAUUUCUUGCAUUGAUCCACAGCUACCAAAAACCAACAGCUACAAGCCACGUGGCUUCUCCAGGAGCCUCCGAUCCAAAAAUCAUGUCAAAUCUAACGGCAGUCCAUUUUUUGGCUAAAAAUAUCAAAAAAUUAUGGAAACAUGUUCUAUAAAUUCCUACAAAUAUUAUUCACUUCCCACACCAAAUCUUCAUACAAAUUCAUAUCCUUUCAAUAUUUUUCACUUUCCAUACAAGAUUUUCUACUACUAAGUUUCGUUUGUGUAAAAAUACAAAUGACCUCUUCUAUCGAAGCCGGAGGCGCGUGUACAACCGUGGAAGAUAUUUUGUUGCGUGAGUGUUGGGUCAAAGUUGGUCAUUCCCUGAUCACGGGCAAUGAGAUGAAGUCCUCUCGUAGGAGUUUCUGACAUCGCAACGAAAGUAAGAUGUGAUAUGAAAAUGUAAGGAAUUUGAUGAGAGGAAUGGGAUUUGAGGAGUUUGAUGUAGGAAUUGAUGUAGGAAUUGAAUUUGGGAGGUAUGUAUAUAAGAUUUGAGGGUAUGUGUUUAGGGAUUUUGAUAAGAGGAUUUGAGGAAUUUAGAUUUGAAGGAUUUGGAUUUGGGGAAUUUAAAUAUGAGGAAUUUGAUUAGGGUUUGGGUUUGAAUAUGUGAAAUUUGAUAUGAGAGUUUAGAGACAACAGAUGAUCGAUUGCUCUGAUACCAUGCUAAAAUAUGAUAUGGUUUGAAUACUUUAGGUUGAGUUUUAUUCUUUUCCAUAAAAAGGUAUAUAUAGGAGUUUACAUGAGUGCUUUACAAAGAAAUAGAUACAAUAAUCAAUUAGGAUAAUAUCUCCUAAUUAUACAAUAAUUUGUCAACUAUAUAGAAUAGGAAAGUAAAUUCCUUAAUUAAUCAAGAAAAUAAAUCUCAUUGAUUAAUUAGGAGACUAACGUCAACAUUUAUAAGCCAUAAAAGAGCAGAAAAAGAGGUACUUAGGAGAUUUUAUACGUCGGACUAAGGUAAGCUUAAAGGACUAUAUCAAAAAAAUAAGGGACCAAGAAGCAAGACAGAGAAGUUGUUAUGCAAACCCAUUAAGUUUAGCAGUGAUGAAUUUGUAAAAAUCAUUCUAGUGGAUUCUGCCUUCACUAUUGAGUUCUUAUUGAGGUUCUAUCUGAAAGGAUCUGGACAUGAAGGAGACCGCUUAUUAAACAAACCGUGGAUGUUUACAGCCUGACAUGUGGUUGCUUGAAAAUCAGCUCCCAUUCUUUAUUCUUGAGGAUCUUUAUCACACAUACAUAAUAACCGACUCUUUUAGGAAUUAUUACAGUACUCAUGAUCAUGAGAGGCUUUCAAUAAUUAAUAUUUCUAAGAAUUUCUUCACAGCCGGAAUAUUGAAUUUGGAGGGGAAGGGAGACAAAUGGAACAGAAUAUCAUCUUCUUCUAGUGUUGGAAAUUUUAUAUUAUUUAAUAAUAUUUAAUUUCUAUUGUGAAUGAAAAAUAAGUUUCUUUAAGAAACGUGUGUCUUAGGCCAGUUUUUCUAACUGGUCGGCUUCCUUAGAUUUGUGCCUAUUGCUUUUCAAAGUAUAAUGAUGCAAUGGUUGUAUCUCGUUCAGGCAAAUGGAAGGUAUAUAGCAAUUUAUAGAACAAUACAGUAAUCCAGAAGAAAUAUUAUGAAAUGAAAAGAAUAAAAAGUAAAAAAAGAGAAAGAAAGGAAUUCCCACCUGCAAUGUAUAUGUAUGAAAGGAAGGACCAAGUUUGUUUUAAAAUGGUAAGAACAAGUUGAUUUUAAAUUGGGUUCAGAUCAACUCAUAGAUUUCUUGCCUUUUCUGUUCUCCUUCCUUGGACAUGAACUGUUUAAUCUUGGACUCUUCCCCAUCAUGUUGGGCCUGUCUUCUUCUUGAGGAUUGUAUAGGCCUAGGAAAUGCUUCGGGGUAGUUUUUGUGUUUUGGGCAUUGGGACCCAACUUCACAAAAAGAAAACAAAUUUGACCAAAACACAAAUUUGAAGGACAUUGAAAUUGUACCCGUAGGAUAGAUUAAAACACUAUAAGGGAGGUAAAUAGUACGUUUACAGAGUUUAAGUGUAAUAAAGGAAUAAAAACAUGCCCAGAGAAUUGAUAAGUGAUAUCAAUUCUUGAAUAUACGUGAAAAUUAUUUUAUGUGGUUAAACCCCACCUCUGGGGAAAAUCCACGGAACUUCUUAGUCCAACUUCUAUCACUUAUCCUAGACACAUUCUAGAUAAUGUUUGCCAACCUCUUCGUAACUCAACUUCUGUCACGAGAUGAUCUUUCAACACUUUAUGUCGAACGCAAUACUGGUCACGAUUUCUUCAAGCUCGCCGGAGUUCUUCCAAUUCUCCUUAUAUUGAAUCUGAUACUAGUCACGAUCGAUUCAAGCUCAUCGGAGAAAAAUCGCCACAACAAUCUUGGUGCCCUCAACCGUAUGAGUCACUGAACAUGCAAAUGAAUACAAUAUGAAUGAUAAAAGUGUUUGAUAAAUCACCAAGUUAUGGAACACUUGAUGAUUUAUCUCAAAUAAAAAUUCAGCUUUCCAAAGUUUAUGAAUUGAAAAUAUGACCGUUAAAGCUCUCUAAACAAAGAAGACGAAGGUCUUAUUUUAUAGACUUUUACUUUACAAGAAAGAAAACACGUUGAAAACCAAAUCUCCAAUUUCCAAGGCUUGACAGAAAAUCACAAAAUUAUCUUUCCUAUUCUAGAGAUUGGUCACAUGAAGUCCAACCAAUAGGAAAUGAGAUAUUUAAGAAAGGAAGAUUUUGAUCAAUAUCAAUAUCAAAUGAAUUCUUAUACGCCUAGUCAAUUGUUAUGGGUAUCUUGACUCCUUGAUAUUGUGAUAUGAUUGAAACAUGAUUUCCACGUUAGAAAAUUAAGGGGAUGUUAAAACAUGAAGGUAAUAGGAGAAUCAAAUUGAUUUGGGCCAAAAUUGCCUAAAAAGAAAACACUCCUUAAUAAACUUCAAUUUACUUUUAAAAAUAGUAAAACGUGAUUGAAUCGUUCUUUAAAACAAUUCCCUAAUAUACAUGCAUGAUAGUGAUAUCACUUACCUUUGAAUCAGAUGGCUUUCACGGGUCAAGCCACAAGUUUUUGUCUUGGGGAUUGCUGAGCUUCAUCAAUCCUGCCAAUGUCAAUUUUGCCCCUAAGCUCUCUCAAAGCACGUUUACAACCUAUGCUAACAUAUAUUAGAGUUUAUGUUAGUAUCAAGAAAAUGCCAACACUAAUUUCGUAACACGUAGAAAUUGUUAGAGAUUGAAGUUUUUAUCAUUUUUUCUUCCAGACUCUCCACCACUCACUAAUAUAGUUUACUCAUGUGAUGAGUUUACAAAACCUAUUUCUCUACUCUCACAAAGACUAUACUUAGGGGGGUGUAUUCAAUUAGGAUUCUAAAGCGUUUAAAAAGAUUUUGUUUAAGUGCCAGCUUUCAUAGAACUUGAUGGAACUUUAUAAUUCGUAUAGAACUUGAUAGACUUUCAGAAGACUUCUGUAUAAUUUUUUAAUAAAACUUUCUUAAGCUUUCAUAGAACUUGAUAGGCUUUCAUUCCAAACUUAUGUAGAUGGUAUAUUUCAUUUUAUCCCCAUCCUUGACAUUUAAAGAAAGAAACUUGAAUUUUUUCAAUCAAAUUUGUUUUUGUUACCAAAGCAGCAAAAACAAAAAGUACUUGUUUGCGAUGGAAGAACAUAUGCACAGUUCAAAAUGAAAAGAAUAAGAAGCAAAGUACCUAUUUGACCAAUGAAUGCUGUGUCAACUAGAGAAGCAAUUGGAUCGGCUGUCAAAGCCAAUGCUGCAGGCAAUGCAUCGAUGGUCCAAAUUGCAAUAAAAAAAUAUUUUGAAUAAUGGCUCUUGCAGACAAAGACCACAUAAAUUCUGAACUGGUCUAGCUUGAAUAAUAAGGUUAGAUUAGCCAAUUGAUGAGAUUAAAAGCAAAGCAAGUUGAUGAAUUUAUCAUCAACUAUUUAAUAACCACAGUCCUGAUCUCUUGGACCCCUGUAGUCCAAGAGAUUUAUGGUCACCCACCGUUGGAUGUAAAUUCAACGGUUGACUUGAAUCGGGUAAUAAUCAUUUAUGUCAUAUUGCAUUUAUAUAUAUCAUUUUGAACCAUUGGAUUAAUAUCCAACGGUGGGUGACCACAAUCUCUUGGACUCCUGUGGUCCAAGAGAUCGGGACUGUUAAUAACCAAUAGAGUAUUUAAACAUAAACAACAAUGUUUGAUCAACAAAACAAAUAGUCCAAAUAUCAUCCAAAAAACAAUAACAAAAAAUCAAUCAUUCCAAACAAACUAGUCAUUCUCAAAAACUCUCAAAAAACCCACUCAUUCCAAAUUGUAGGAUAUCCAAUUUGAGCACUCCUCAGGAGACAUUUUCAAAAAUGCAUCCUUUUUUGUGUUACUAUGCAACAAAGAGAGUGCUUUAUAACGAGCAUGUUCAUCCAAAUUUGGGGUCUCCUUAAUGGCAUCCCAUAUAUAACUCCGCUGCUCUCUCUCUUUUUCCCUUUUUGCCAAUAGGUUAUGGACCUCCCGGAAGUCGAUGACAAUUGAAUCAAUGCUAAGGCUAAUUCUUCCCAUAGCUUGCUGGGUGGUCACAUUUGAGAUAGCAUUCCCUUCCAAAUAUGUUCUAGUUCGUUUCCUCUAGUAACAAGCAUAAAUCCUAGUAACAAGCAUAAACCCUAACCCCAACCUAUAACCUAAUAACAAGAAGAAAACCCAACGAGGUAUUGAUCAAAGAAAAAUUAGGGAGCAUACCUUCACAGAUGGAGGAAGGAAGCUGUUCGUCUUCGCAGAGAGAAAAUCUAGGGAAAGAGAAAAACGUCUUAUGAAAUACUUGGGGGGGAGGUUGGAUUUAUUUUGGUCUUUUUUAUUUAUAACUCUCCCCUUAAAACCUACGUAAAUUUAUCACUUAAUGAAAUCCUUCCAAAUAUAUGACCUUUCGAAUACACCUAGAUUUGAUUCAACUUUUUUAUAAUCAUAAUUGAAUACACCCAUAUUUGAAUGGACUUUUUAAAAGUUCAUAUAGGUCCGAAAUGAAUAUACUCAAACUUGUAAAACCUCUUUUAAAGUUUGUAUAAAUCCAAAUUGAAUACACCUGGAUUUUUAAAAUCUUUUUAAACACUUUAUAAUCCUAAUUGAAUACACCCCCCUUAUUCUCAAAAGACUAUAUUACUUUACCUCUAUCUCUGUGAAAUGUAAAAAGUUGAAACUUUAAUGUCAAACCUCAACAAAAGAUGAACUUUCAUCAGUUACGUUGAAUUUGGAUUUGUUGAACUUAAGUGGUUUUAUUUUCUUUGUCAGUGUUUGAUGACUUAAUUUGGUAUUUAUUUCUUCUUUUUUUUCCUUGGAAAUGUGUUCCACCAACGUGAGGAAGAAAAAUAUGCACAAAUUAAUAUAUUUAAUAGAAGCCCAAGAUUUCGGAUGCAUAUAAUUUCUACAAAAAUCUACAAAGUUUUUUACUUUACAAACUUCUUAUGUCUACCAAUUUCUACUAAAAUUAAUUUCUCUGUGGUGCUCAAAUUCAUCAUAUGUGUGUCGUUAAUUUUAUUGAAAAUUGGAAGUUCCCAUCAUUUUUGUUUUUUGGGAAUUUUCUGAACCAAGGAAAAUCAAGUAAAAUUAAUAAAGCCUAAAUUGGAAAGGGAAAAUAUCUAGAGGAUGCAUUGUAGGAUUGCUCAUGCCAAUAAUUGUACCCUCUAAAUAUAUAGAGACAUAUUUUUUUUGUUUUCAUGACAUGUGGUCCUAAAAUUAUUGUGUAAAUCUUCAAUCCUGAACGAUGCACCUAAAACUCAUCCACCCAUUCUCAGGCCAAUUAUUGCACCUAGUGGGCUCUCGACCCCCUCUCAAAUUUAACCACAUAUUUUAUGGACCAUCCAGCUGUGAGGUACAUUCCCCCCACAUGCCACAAUUGUAUAUUCACAAUUACGUCUGAUACAUCACAUCAUGCCACUUGCCUCAAAUGAAUUUAAGUGAGUGAGGCAGUUGGAAGUAAUUAAGCUCUAUAUUGGUGGGUGGAGUGUUACUUCUCGGUUCCCCUCAUCAUUCGUCUAUAAAAUGGUGAAGGCAGUUGCUAUUGUUACCAUAAGAGCCAGCUCCGACUUCCUUUAAUUUCUUGCUUCAUAUCCACUAGCUACAUCUGUUACCAAGUUAAUUUCAGUUCUAAUGGGGUUUCAUCUCCCACUCAUCUUUGCUCUUCUCAGUGUAAGCUCUGCAAUUUGAUUAACUUUUCCAUUCUCUCUCAUUGUACUCUAUAUAAACGAAAGUUUUGUGUUCCUAUUGUUCUCUCCGAUUUUAUUUAGUACGUACUUAAGUGUCGUCCACUAAUUAAUUAUACUUUGUGAUUUGAUUUUAAUUUGAGUUUGAAUUAAUGUUGCAGCUAGCAGCAGUGGCACUGGCAAACCAUGCUGCUCAACCAGCACCUCAACUUUACUGGAGCUCCGUCCUGCCAAACACACAGAUGCCAAGAUCUAUCAGUGAACUUCUGCAUCCUGGUUUGUGUUGAGCUCUUUAGAAUCUUAGAUAUCUCUUCUACCUGCCAUUUUACUAAAAUAUGUUCCACCACAUAUUUAUCAGUUAACCAUUGUCAUUACAUGAGUGACACAUAUUCACAAAUCGGCUGAUCACUUAUUUUCCAUUAUGACUUGAUAUAUAAUUUGCAGACUCCACAAAUGAAGAAAAGAGCACAAAUGACGUUGGCAAACCUGAAACUUUCCCAUUGGGCAAUCAACAUUACUCCAGUCAAAAACAUUAUGGAGGCAUACCUGAAACUUCCCCAUUGGGCAAUAAACAUUACUCCAGUCAAAAACAUUAUGGAAGAGGCAAACCUGAAACUUUCCCAUUGGGCAAUCAGCAUUACUCCAGUCAAAGACAUUAUGGAAGAGGCAAACCUGAAACUUUCCCAUUGGGCAAUAAACAUUACUCCAGUCAAAAACAUUAUGGAAGAGGCAAACCUGAAACUUUCCCAUUGGGCAAUCAGCAUUACUCCAGUCAAAAAAAGUAUGGAAGAGGUGCUUCUCCAUCCGACAAUCAACAACUCCAUUAUAAAGACUUAGCUAUUUUCUUCUUGGAGAAGGACAUGCGCCCUGGCACAACAAUGAAGUUCCAAUUCC
rnacentral:lncRNA from 1 species